rnacentral:lncRNA from 1 species
AAAGAAUAAAAGAAGACAAAAGAACUCUACAUAACCCCCAAUAUUGAAAUAUCAACAACCAAUACAAUUCAUCCAUUUUAAAAGAGGAGACCAAACGCAAGAGCGACAAGGGAAGCAAAUGCCGUCGGCACGAAUGCGGUGGCAUCUGAGGUAGGAGUAGGGGCCGGUGCAUCAGCUGCCGCAACAUAUUGGACCGCUGAGAUGGCCAUCAACACCACCAUCAUAGCCAAAAAUAGUCUUAUCCUCAAUGCCUCCAUUUGUUGGUGUAGUCUCUUGGUGGAUUUUGUUGCAAAAGUGAGGAAUAUGAAUUGGAGACAAGCAGUAAUGGGGGUGCCAUAAAGCCCCAUUUAUAUACAUCUCGUGCUGGCCAGUUUUCAAUUAGUGUCGAAAAAAUAAAGUUUCCAUUUAACUUUUAAUUUAGUUAUUAUUGGUUUGGGCUGCCCGUUAGUUGGGACAGGGUGGCUUUAAGUUCAACUUUAGAUGCCAUACAGCUGUUGCCAACGGUCUUUUUGGGCGUUGCUUGGAGAGGGUCCCUUGUCUUUACCCACUUGCCUUAUCUACCACUUUUUUCGGGGGCAGUGUGGGCUGUUCAAUUCUGAUUUUACAAAAUUUUGGACUACUAUUUUGACCCUAUGAGCAGGCGUGUUCUGUGGUUUGAGUUCAACUUCUUUUAUGGCAAUCUUGGUAUUUGAUGUCCUUAAUUAAUUAGAGAUUUGUUCAUCGGAAAUAUAGGGCUGUUGGGACCCUUUCUCUUUUUUUGGGUUCAAUAUGUUGGGAACCCUUUCAUUCACCGUUAUCAUGCCUUUGCAUAUCAUAUUUCAUUAUUUUUAUCUUCAGUUAAAAUUAAUUUGUUUUUCAAUUAUUAUUGUUUGUGUAAUUAUUUUAUUUAUAACAAUGAUUAAUAUUUGUAUUUGAAUAUUUUAUAUCUAAAAAUAUUAUACAUAUUUAUUGUUGUUUCAUGAACAUGUUGAAUUAUAUGUUCAUAAACAUGUGUUUUUAAUACUUACGAACAAACAAAUAUGAACACACUGGAAAAGGUAAAAGUGGACUUCUUCCCUAAACAUUUGAACCAAUUUCGAAAUUUGGAGUCAUCGUGGUUGAGAGACUUUUACUUGAAUACCAGUCUUGGCCCCACCAAAAUUGUUGACACCAUUUUUUUUGGAUAAAAACGGGGUCGACUUGGGUUUUGAAAAAAAUGAAACAGGAGUCGCCACCAAUCCUUUUUAUAAGGUGUGAUUGGAUCACCUCGAAAAGCGGUCGUUUUUAAUAAACGGUUUGAUUUUAUUAAAACAACAAGUUUGGUCCGCAAAAUUCAGAAAACGGGUUCGGAGUCGGUUACGCACGAGGAAGGAUUAGCACCCUCGAUACGCCCAAAAUUGGUACCUUAGUGGAUUACUUAAUGUCUUAAUGUCGAAAAUUGAAAACUUAGAAGAAUUAAAAAAUACGAUCCUUGUAUUAAAACGUUGAAAAUUUUCAGGAAAAUGGGCAUAUUUCACAUUAUUCGAGAAAGAGAAUCAUAUCCAGUAAGUUAGAAUGCAAUGUCUCAAAUUCCCAAUACGUGAAUGAAUGCCAGAAUUUUACUUAUUUAAAAGAUAUUUUAUUAUCUCGGGUUUAGGAAAGGGAUCAUGCCCAGUAAGUUAGGACACGAUCUUUUCUUAAUUCCCGAGAUCGUUUCAAAAUUUGAGUUUGAAAAGAUUAGUGUAUUUAGAUUUAUUGUGGAAAUCGAAACCCAGUAAGUUAGGGUACGAUCCUCUCGAAUCUAAACACAAAAUAUCAUUUUUUAAACAAAUUUUAUUAUCGAGUGAAAUAAAAACAUGAAGUCGUAGUAAAAAUGUGAAAGCAAAUUACAUUGUUAUACAUGACAAAAUCAUAAUGAAUACAAAAGUGUAAAAAUGAUACGAGCGAUAGCAACAAUAUAAAAUAAAUAAAAGUCAAACCUACAAUCAUAUAAAAUAACAAUAUAUAUAUAUAAACAAAUAAAUUAAACAUUCGUUCAAAAUAAUAAUGAAAAUGAAAUAAAUAAAUAGUGAAUACAAUUAAAAUUUAAAGGGAUAUAUAUAUAUUUAUAUGUAUAGACAAAAAAUAAAAUAUGUGUGUAUUCAUAAAUUACAAUAUAUAUAUAGAGUAUACUUUAAAAUAUAAAAAAAAUAUGCAUAUAGAUAAAAAUAUGUACACAUAUAUAUAGGUGUAUAAAAUUAUGGAAUAUGAAAAUAAUGAAAUGCAUAUAUAAAGUAGGCGCAUGAAAAUAUGUAUGUACAAAUUAAAGUUUAAAAAUAAUGAAAAUAUACCUACGUAUACAAAUAAAUACGUUAAUUUAUAUAUAUAUGUUUAAAGUAUAUUGAAAACAUGUAUGUAUAUGUCUAUGCAAAUUAAGAUAUACAAAAACAUAUAAAUACAUACAUAUAAAUAUAUAUACUUAUAAAAAUAAAAAUAUGUAUAUGUAUAUAGAUAUAUAUAAAAAAGAAAUAUGAGUAUACGUAUAUAUAUUAAACAAAUUAUAUGUAAAAUAUGUACAUGUAUAUAUACAAGCACUUAUAUGAUAAUAAUAAGGCAUAUAUAUAUAUUUAAAAAUACAUAAGUAUAUAUGAAUAGAGAUAUAAAAGUAACAACAAUAAUACCAAUACUAAUAAUAGUAAAGAUGAUAAUAAUAAUAAUAAUAAUAAUAAUAAUAAUAAUAAUAAAGUUAACAAAAAUUGACUAAAUAAUAAAAUAUGCUAAAAAAGGGCCUUAAAUCGAAAUGAAAUAAAACAUAUAGGGCCAAUUCGAAAUAAAGGAAAACGAAAGGGAUCCAAUUGCGACGCGCGUAAAAAAGGGAAGGACCGAAACAGAAAAUAAACCCAAAAUCCCAAAACGCAGCACCUCAAUGGACUAAAAUAAAACAAAAGUAAAAUAUUAGGGCUAAAUCAAAAUAAAAUAAAACAACAAAAUAGGACCAAAUUGAAACACACCGCGAAUCAGAGGGACUGCGCGCAUAAAUUGCCCAAAAAACUAAAACACGCGGAUCCUACGGGUCGGGUCGGGUCGACGCGCGGAUCCCCCUUUGCUAAAACGGCGCCGUUUUGUGUUUAAUAUAAAUAUAAAAAAAAAGCUAAAAACAACACUGCUUCAUCAUUUUAUUGAAAAAAAAGAGAGAAAACUCUCUCUUUUUCAUUUUUCUCAGGCUCCGAUUCCGGAGAUGGCUCGGCCAAGGCUUCCGGCGAGUCUCCGCCGUAGAGCCACCGCGUGUGGCGGCCGGAGGUCCAAAAUCGGACCUUUUCGGUCCCUUUUUGAAGCCUAGCGUCCCUAGGGUACGGAUCUAGGGCCAAAUCCCCGAAAAAAGAGCCGGAGACCCGAAGAUCGAGGGGAAACCGCUCGUCUUCUCCUCUCCGGUGCGGCGCAGGUAAGGUUCUUUUGGUUUUUCGUUUGUUAUUUAGUGUAGAAGAUAAAAAAUAAACAAUAAAGAGAGAAGAGAUUUAGACACUAAAAAGGUCACCUUUUUUUAUCUCUUUGUUUUUUUUCUUUUCAAAAGGGCUCCGAACCCCCCCUUACAACUGAUUUUGCUUGGCUUUUUAUAGCCAUUUUACAUGAGUUCUUUAUCUAUUUUUGUCUCUGCUUUGCGUGUUUGGUUUCAUCUUGCAGGGAGUCAGAGGAGUUGGUGGAGCAGGUGAGGCCGUGCGUCGGUGGUCAGAGGAACGGCGGCAGUAGUCAGGACCGAUUAGGUUUUCUUUCUUUCUCUAUUUUUUGUUUAUUUUGGGCUGGUAGAAAUGGGUUUGGGUUAAUUGGGCCUUAAGCCCGGGCUAAAAUUGGUCUGUACAGCUGCCCCUCUUUGCUCGUUGUCGUGUAACGAAAACAGAGCAAAGACUAAGAAAGACCAAUUUUUGCCCGGUCUCGCUGAGUCUUGACUUCUCUAACGCCUCACUUCAAGGAGCUUUAUUUCAAUCCACUGUGGCUUGUCGUGUCGAUCCAUUCCACUACACUUCAGAAAGAUACGACUUGUAGCUUCAAUCCACUUUGCCGCGACUUUAGGGGGUGAGAUUCGUUGCUUUAGUCUGCUCCGCUGCAAUAUCAGGAAGAUAAGACUAGCUGCGAUCUGCUCUACUGCAACUUUAGAGAGGUAAGAUCUGAAAUCUUCAAUCUAUUCCAUUGUUAACCAGGGAGAUAGAAUUAUCGGCUUCAAUGUACUCCACUGUAGUCACAAGGAGGUAAAAUUUGCCAUUACUUGAUCUACUUCACUACUGUUUAGGAAGGCAAGAUCUGAAAUCUUCAAUCUAUUCCACUGCCAACUAGGGAGAUAGAAUUAUCGACUUCAAUGUACUCCACUGUAGUCACAGGGAGGUAGAAUCUGUCAUCUAUGAUCUUCAAUCUAUUCCACUGCCAACCAGGGAGAUAGAAUUAUCGGCUUCAAUGUACUCCACUGUAGUCACAGGGAGGUAAAAUCUGCCAUCUAUGAUCUUCAAUCUAUUCCACUGCCAACUAGGGAGAUAGAAUUAUCGACUUCAAUGUACUCCACUGUAGUCACAGGGAGGUAAAUCCUGAUGCGAUCUACUCUACUGUAACUUCAGAGUAAUGAGAUCCUUUAUUUUAAUCCGCUCCACUGUAACUUCAGAGAGAUAGGAUUACUAGCUUCAAUCUACUCCGCUGUAAUCUCAGGGAGAUAAGAUCUCUGGCUUUAAUAUGUUCCACUGUAACCGAGAGAGGCAAGAUUUGUGUCUCCGAUCUGCUUCGCUGUCAAGGCAAGAAGGCAAGAUCUGUUAUCUUCAACCAGCUUUACUACAACCGAGAGAGGCAAGGUUUGUGUCUUCAAUCUGCUUCGCUGUCAACGUAGGAAGGCAAUAUCUGUUAUCUUUAGUUUGCUCCGCUGUCAUUACAGGAAGACAAAAUCUUUUGUCUUCAACCAGCUCCAUCACCACCGAGAGGCAAGGUUUGUGUCUUGGACCUGCUUCGCUAUCAAUAUAGGAAGGCAAGAUCUUUUGUCUUCAACCAGCUCCAUCACAACCGAGAGAGGAAAUGUUUGUGUCUUCGAUCUGCUUCGCUGUCAAUGCAGGAAGGCAAGAUCUAUUGUCUUCAACCAGCUCCAUCACAACCGAGAGAGGAAAGGUUUGUGUUUUCGACCUGCUUCGCUGUCAAUACAGGAAGGCAAGAUCUUUUGUCUUCAACCAGCUCCACCACCGAGAGAGGCAAGGUUUUGUUUUCGAUCUGCUUCGCUGUUAACGCGGGAAGGCAAGAUCUGCUGUCUUCACUGAUCUGUUCUCUAGGGAACAUGACCUGUAUAAUGAACCUAAUUAUGCCUAAUGAUUAGGAUGGCAUGAUCAAAAUGAAUCCAAUACUCCUAACUAGAUGUCAUGAAGAUGAUUCCUUAAUGCUUAGGUUAACAUCACGUAAAAACUUAUUAAGGUUUUAUCACUGACGUACUACAACGCCUUUUUGCUCGUCUGGUAUAUCCAAAGAAACACUUAAUCUGGUUGCCUCCCACUGUAAACCUUAAAGUUUAAUCUAUUAGGGCACAAAAUUUGUACCAUCAUUCUCCCACUACAAUCCAAGGGUAGAAAUAUGGUUUUUCCUCAAUCUUCUUUUAUCACAAUUCAAGGAUAUAGGAUCUUAAUCUUUCUGGUCCCCCUUACACCAUUUCCAGGGUGUCGUUUCAAAGACUCAUGCACAAAUGAAGGCUCUCUUCUCCGAGGUAACCUCUUCCUAUUGCCUAGUGAUCAUUGCUUGCUUGUUUAUUUAAGCUUUUUCAUUGACACGACAUCUUGUCAUUUUGUUCAAUCACUGCAUUUGUCAACAAAAUCCAAAGAGAAAGUCCAAACUUAGACUCUUCCUUCUCAAAUUUCCAACCUUCCAAUUUGGCAUGUUCUAAACAAUAGUCCUGUUUCAGGUUCCUGUAUUAUUUAGAAACUUUUCAGAGUAAUAUGCAAAACUUCCUUUGUGAAAGUUUUAUUAGUCCAUUAAUCAUUAUUCCAAUGCUUGCAAAAAGGUCAUAACAAUGGAUAAGAAUAAAGUUGGUUCUGAGCAUAGCUCGAAAGAACAAAUUAUCGAAAAUAGUGAAGAAGGACAACAAAAGAAUUAAUUGGGAAUGUAUAUCUUGGAAAGAAAGAAAAAGUAUUCCAAGAACAACAAAUAACAUGAGAAUUGGGUGCCCCAGAUAUCACAGCUUGAACUUCUCUAUACAAACUUUCUGAAGACCCUUUUGAGUUGGACAUGUGUUUAGGAGAUCUACAAUGCUCUGUCGAUGCCCCCAAGAUGUCGCCUAUCCUUUCCUGUUGAUUCAGGCAUGGCAAGAUCAACACAUGCCUCAAUAUGAACAAAACUUGAGCAGCUUAUAUCACCUCAUGCCCCAUUUUGAUCAGUAUUUGAGCCGCCUCUUUCGGGUUUUCAACUCAAAUCCCCUUUGGCCUAAGGUGCCCUUUGCGGGUUUUCCCCUUAGCCUCUCCAUUUUUACUUUUUCAUUUUUCAUUUUUUCAUCUUCUUCUUCUUCUUCUUUUUUUUUUUUUUUUUUUUGAAUCAAAGUGCCCUUUUGCAGGUUUUCACCUUGGUCCUUCCUUCUUCGAAGUGUUUCUGGAUCUGAGUUUAUAGGAUUAGCAAUCUCACUCAGGAUCAGUGCUCUUCUAGAAAUGGUCUUCUUUACAACAUAGGGACUUUCCUAGUUUGGCAUUCAUUUCCCUUUAGAAUCCUUUCGUUAAGGAAGAAUCUUUUUCAACAUCCAGCCCUCUUGUGGAAUUCUCUGAGACGAGCAUGUUUAUUAUGGGCUCAUAUUAUUUAUUUAUGGUACAUCUGACCCUGAUGAAUAGCUUUUAACCCUUUUCCUAGGGCCAACUGAUCACAUUGCGAUUGGAUCCCUUCAACAAGCAACGAGGGGAUUUUAAUAGGUAGAACUACCUCAAUCCUGUAAACCAAAAAGAGAAGUGUUGCCCCAAUACCGAUGUUCGACAAACAAUGAGGGUAAAUGGUAAUUUCUCACAUCGAUCCUCGUAAGUCUCAGUCAUUUUCCUUCAAUUUUUGAUGUUCAACUCUAGGAGCUUCAGUGACGAAUCGUGGUGUCCACUUCUGAGCUAAUUUGAGACUUCAGCUAUCGUGCUAUUGUUUAACCUCAAUGCAUUCUCCAAUACUCUCUUCUCUGAAAUUCUGUAUCGGUAUACGAUGCCUUUAGCUCAUGAAGUAGCCUCUCAAUAUGAAACAAUGCCCAUUAGAAGUCUUCGAUAAUGGUGACGUCCAUGCCCCAUUGUGCUCAAAAUUUGAGUCGUCCUUUUUCGGGUUUUCAACUCAGAUCCACCUUUGGUCAAAGCGCCCUUUGCGGGUUUUCGCCUUGGCCUCUCCUUUUUCUUUUUUUAUAUUUUGACUUUGAUUUUUUUGAUUUUUUUGAUUUUUUUUUUGAAUUCAUGAGAUUAGGCAAGUUCUGGUCAUGCUUUUCGACCAGAAUCAAUGUUAUUCUAAAGUCUUCCACAUAAGAUCUUCCACUUUCAUCUUGUAUGUGAGAAACCUUCUUUGGUACCAGAUUUCUUUCACUAGAGCCCUUUUGAGACGCAACUACGACAGAAAAAUUUGGAUCUCUAUCUUUAAUCAGGAUAAAAUCCAACAACAUCUUGAAGGGAUGGAAACUCAACUUCAAAUGGGUAAAGCUAUGCUGACUCAACGAGAGAGGCAUUGCCCCGGCAAAGAAUUGCAUCGUUCGCAUUGUAAAUUUCUGACAUCGUGCUGUUGUGCAGGUUUUAUUAUCAAGCUCACAAUUUCUAAUGAUUCACUGAGAGGUAGGAUCUGUUUAUCCUUUUGUUCUACCAUCCUCAACAAGUUUGGAGAUAAGCUACGCUCUGUGUCAACUUCAAAGUCGUGAGAUCCCUCUAAACACAUGUCUCGCUCAAAAGGAGAUUCUAAGUCUGUAGCAGUGUCACUCAUGCCGUUGAUAUCCAGGGACCUAUGGUAGGUAAUAUAUAAAGAAUGUAUGAAUUUAAGAAUAAUUAUCUGCACAGUAUGAUUAUGAAUGAAUGAAAGAAUGAUUUGGAUGGAAGAAUAAAAGAAUAAUCAAUGAAAAAUAUUAGUUCAAAAGAUCGCAAAGAUGCAUUCCAUUAAAAUAAUGACGUUCAGACAUAAGCCUUUUUCACGAAAGACUUCUUGUUGCUCUAGGCUGAAAGCAACAAGUGUGUUUUGAAUAUUACUCUGAGUAAGCUCUAAAUGCUACAAAGGUUUCUUUAGAACACUCCCAGGUUUAUAAGGGCGAACAUCUAAUAAGGUCCCUUUUCAAUUACGCCUUCAUAUAUGGUAUGGAUGUGAAAACUUCCCAACACUUUCUCAUAUAUUGCGUUCACCCCAUUUGUUAAUCAUGAUUGGGUGGCGAAUUUUCUGCAUUAGAUGAAUCACCAAACUUGAUGACACCCAUGUUGAUGAGUUUUUCAACCAGUUUCUUGAAGGCUAUGCAGUUCUCUAUAGAAUGCCCCGUAUUUCCCGCAUGAUAUUCGCAAUGUGCAUUCGCAUCGUGCCAUUUGGGGUACGGUGGCUGUGGAGGUUUCGUGUAGAGAGGGGCGACAAUACGUGCGUUGAAUAAGCUUUGAUACAACUCCUUAUAUGACAUCGAAAUUGGCGUGCAUUGAAGGUUUUCAGUGCCUUGCUUCACAUACGAUUCUUGUCCAGAUGAACCUUGCUGACUAGUAAUCACCUUUCUUGGCUGUGUAAUCGAUUUGUUGUAGGUGUUCACAUUGCUCACAUCAUUUUCCUUCUUCUUUAAGUCUGACCUUCUAUUAUUCUCCCCAGCAUCAAUCUUUCCACUUCUCACGGCACUUUCAAUCAUUUCACCGCUCAUGACUAUGUCUAAAAAACUCAUCGAAGCACUUCCCAACAUGUGAGUGAUGAACGGGGCCUUCAAUGUGUUGAUGAAGAGCAUCGUCAUUUCUUUCUCUAGGAGUGGCGGCUGAACUUGGAUAGCGACCUCCCUCCACCUUUGUGCGUAUUGCCUAAAACUUUCAUUAGGCUUUUUCUCCAUAUUUUGAAGGGUAAUUCUGUCAAGGACCAUAUCAGCUACAUGACUGUAUUGUUUCAUAAAGGCUUGUGCUAAAUCCCUCCAAGAACUAAUUUGGAUACGCGUCAAUUGAUUGUACCACUUAGACGCUGCCCCUGUGAGGCUAUCUUGAAAGCAGUGUAUGAGCAGUUGGUCGUUGUUGACGUAUCCGGCCAUACGCCUACAGAACAUAGUAAUAUGAGCUUCUGGGCAGCUGGUCCCAUUAUAUUUCUCGAAUUCCGGCAUCUUAAAUUUGUAAGGAAGUAUCAAAUCCGGAACUAAACUCAGAUCUUUCGCAUCUAUUCCAAGAAUGCCGUCGAUACUUUCUAUCGCCCUAAACUUCUCUUCAAUCCAUUUCCAUUUCUCCUCAAACUGCUUUGGUAACUCCUCCUUCAUCUUGUCUUUCUCCGCUACUUCAUCGAAGUCCGGGACAACCAGAUUAUCGUCAGGAUUAGAACCAGAUCUGACCUGAAGGUUCUUCGGUAUUGAAGCGUCACCUUGAAAGUGCUGAGGUCUAAUCGAGACAGAAGAUCUUCGUGGAUGUGGUUCAAUCUGAAUUUGCGCUUGCGGAGGCGUGUAUCCUGGAGAAAAAAGUGGCUCAUCAUUGUUUCCUUCUUCAUCGCAAACCACAGGAUUUUUCCUUUUAUCCACUCCCUUGGUUAUUAAUUGCGUCAAUUUAGUCAUUAGUUCAUCCUGAGACUCCUUCAUCUUUUGUGCCAUGUCUUUCUGGAUCUUUUCCAUAUGUUCUUUUAUUUGCACCUGUAACUGGUCUUGCAUCUCUUUUUGCGUUUGCUCCAGUUUCUCUAAUCUUUGAUCCAUUUCUUUGGCUUUGCGACGAGUACCGUAAGGAUGUUUGGUUGAUUGGUUUUCCAGAUUAGCUGAAAUAAUUUUACAUAAUUAGGGUCACUUCGUGAAAAUCUAAUGCAUAUGAUGCAAUGUAAUGCAAAUGCAUGAAAUGAAUGCCUAAAGAGACGUUGAUUCUGAUUCAAUUACAUUUAGGAAACUUUUCUAGAAAGCAAAUUCCCUUACAUAAAACGGAUACAUGUACGACCUCACCCUCAUAUUCCAAGAAACAACAUCGAUUUCUUCUUCAUCGGCAUGUUUGAGGUAAUCUCACCAAUAGAUGCCAUUGCUAGCUCAUUUUCUUGAUCUUGGUCGCGAUCCAUCAUCUGCCCAUCUUCAUAAGGCUUGUCAGCUUGUUGAAGGCUUUUGGACAAUCGUCUCGAAUCCCCAGGCCACCAAGCAAGGUUACGAACUCUUCCAUCGCCAUUCUUGUGUUUCUCAGAAUAUGUUUGGGAAGUCGUAUUGUUUUCCACUUUAUCAAGGAAUUCGUAUUCCAUGACAAGCUUUCUAAUUUAGUAAUUGGAUUUGAAUCCAUAUCUCUUUCCUAAAAUGCAAUGCAAUCAUAAUCAAAACAAAACAAGAUCGGUUAGUAAAAAAAACAGAAGCAAACAAGGAAAACAAAAAGUACCUAAUCGGGUAGAUACUAGGGGUUUGGAGUGGCUCUACCUAGGUUAAGUUCCUAAGUCUACUAUAUGAGGGUUGGUUCUAAAGUAAGGGUACCCGAACCAGCAGAUUCCUCGAUCCUCACCCAUUAUAGGCUCAUACGGACUGAGUUCAGUUCAGGGGAAUACAUUUCCCUAUGGCCAUGCGGAGAUGAUAAUCUCACGAAGACAUAGGUACGGAUGUAUCCCGAAAGCGAUUCACUAUCCCAUGCGGAGGUGAAAACCUCACGAAGGCGUAGCUUCUCACUCCCACUUAAAAAGGGUGUGACCAACGGUCAUGCAAUGCAAUGUGCAAAAAUAAAUCUGAACUUAAACACAACAAUUAUGAAUCAUAAUGACGAAGAUCAUAAUAAAGAUAAAAAUACAAUGAAAGGAUCGUAUAUUUAAACUAAGUUUUUUAUUUUUGACAAAAAGACAAAAAGUAAUCAAUUCAUGGCUUGACUCUCGUGUUUUGUCCCCAGCGGAGUCGCCAAGCUGUUGACACCAUUUUUUUUGGAUAAAAACGGGGUCGACUUGGGUUUUGAAAAAAAUGAAACAGGAGUCGCCACCAAUCCUUUUUAUAAGGUGUGAUUGGAUCACCUCGAAAAGCGGUCGUUUUUAAUAAACGGUUUGAUUUUAUUAAAACAACAAGUUUGGUCCGCAAAAUUCAGAAAACGGGUUCGGAGUCGGUUACGCACGAGGAAGGAUUAGCACCCUCGAUACGCCCAAAAUUGGUACCUUAGUGGAUUACUUAAUGUCUUAAUGUCGAAAAUUGAAAACUUAGAAGAAUUAAAAAAUACGAUCCUUGUAUUAAAACGUUGAAAAUUUUCAGGAAAAUGGGCAUAUUUCACAUUAUUCGAGAAAGAGAAUCAUAUCCAGUAAGUUAGAAUGCAAUGUCUCAAAUUCCCAAUACGUGAAUGAAUGCCAGAAUUUUACUUAUUUAAAAGAUAUUUUAUUAUCUCGGGUUUAGGAAAGGGAUCAUGCCCAGUAAGUUAGGACACGAUCUUUUCUUAAUUCCCGAGAUCGUUUCAAAAUUUGAGUUUGAAAAGAUUAGUGUAUUUAGAUUUAUUGUGGAAAUCGAAACCCAGUAAGUUAGGGUACGAUCCUCUCGAAUCUAAACACAAAAUAUCAUUUUUUAAACAAAUUUUAUUAUCGAGUGAAAUAAAAACAUGAAGUCGUAGUAAAAAUGUGAAAGCAAAUUACAUUGUUAUACAUGACAAAAUCAUAAUGAAUACAAAAGUGUAAAAAUGAUACGAGCGAUAGCAACAAUAUAAAAUAAAUAAAAGUCAAACCUACAAUCAUAUAAAAUAACAAUAUAUAUAUAUAAACAAAUAAAUUAAACAUUCGUUCAAAAUAAUAAUGAAAAUGAAAUAAAUAAAUAGUGAAUACAAUUAAAAUUUAAAGGGAUAUAUAUAUAUUUAUAUGUAUAGACAAAAAAUAAAAUAUGUGUGUAUUCAUAAAUUACAAUAUAUAUAUAGAGUAUACUUUAAAAUAUAAAAAAAUAUGCAUAUAGAUAAAAAUAUGUACACAUAUAUAUAGGUGUAUAAAAUUAUGGAAUAUGAAAAUAAUGAAAUGCAUAUAUAAAGUAGGCGCAUGAAAAUAUGUAUGUACAAAUUAAAGUUUAAAAAUAAUGAAAAUAUACCUACGUAUACAAAUAAAUACGUUAAUUUAUAUAUAUAUGUUUAAAGUAUAUUGAAAACAUGUAUGUAUAUGUCUAUGCAAAUUAAGAUAUACAAAAACAUAUAAAUACAUACAUAUAAAUAUAUAUACUUAUAAAAAUAAAAAUAUGUAUAUGUAUAUAGAUAUAUAUAAAAAAGAAAUAUGAGUAUACGUAUAUAUAUUAAACAAAUUAUAUGUAAAAUAUGUACAUGUAUAUAUACAAGCACUUAUAUGAUAAUAAUAAGGCAUAUAUAUAUAUUUAAAAAUACAUAAGUAUAUAUGAAUAGAGAUAUAAAAGUAACAACAAUAAUACCAAUACUAAUAAUAGUAAAGAUGAUAAUAAUAAUAAUAAUAAUAAUAAUAAUAAUAAUAAUAAUAAUAAAGUUAACAAAAAUUGACUAAAUAAUAAAAUAUGCUAAAAAAGGGCCUUAAAUCGAAAUGAAAUAAAACAUAUAGGGCCAAUUCGAAAUAAAGGAAAACGAAAGGGAUCCAAUUGCGACGCGCGUAAAAAAGGGAAGGACCGAAACAGAAAAUAAACCCAAAAUCCCAAAACGCAGCACCUCAAUGGACUAAAAUAAAACAAAAGUAAAAUAUUAGGGCUAAAUCAAAAUAAAAUAAAACAACAAAAUAGGACCAAAUUGAAACACACCGCGAAUCAGAGGGACUGCGCGCAUAAAUUGCCCAAAAAACUAAAACACGCGGAUCCUACGGGUCGGGUCGGGUCGACGCGCGGAUCCCCCUUUGCUAAAACGGCGCCGUUUUGUGUUUAAUAUAAAUAUAAAAAAAAAGCUAAAAACAACACUGCUUCAUUAUUUUAUUGAAAAAAAAGAGAGAAAACUCUCUCUUUUUCAUUUUUCUCAGGCUCCGAUUCCGGAGAUGGCUCGGCCAAGGCUUCCGGCGAGUCUCCGCCGUAGAGCCACCGCGUGUGGCGGCCGGAGGUCCAAAAUCGGACCUUUUCGGUCCCUUUUUGAAGCCUAGCGUCCCUAGGGUACGGAUCUAGGGCCAAAUCCCCGAAAAAAGAGCCGGAGACCCGAAGAUCGAGGGGAAACCGCUCGUCUUCUCCUCUCCGGUGCGGCGCAGGUAAGGUUCUUUUGGUUUUUCGUUUGUUAUUUAGUGUAGAAGAUAAAAAAUAAACAAUAAAGAGAGAAGAGAUUUAGACACUAAAAAGGUCACCUUUUUUUAUCUCUUUGUUUUUUUUCUUUUCAAAAGGGCUCCGAACCCCCCCUUACAACUGAUUUUGCUUGGCUUUUUAUAGCCAUUUUACAUGAGUUCUUUAUCUAUUUUUGUCUCUGCUUUGCGUGUUUGGUUUCAUCUUGCAGGGAGUCAGAGGAGUUGGUGGAGCAGGUGAGGCCGUGCGUCGGUGGUCAGAGGAACGGCGGCAGUAGUCAGGACCGAUUAGGUUUUCUUUCUUUCUCUAUUUUUUGUUUAUUUUGGGCUGGUAGAAAUGGGUUUGGGUUAAUUGGGCCUUAAGCCCGGGCUAAAAUUGGUCUGUACAAAAAUAGUAUUAAAUCUAAAAAUGAAUGAAGAGAUUUGUGGUUAUAAAAAAAUAAAUCAACUAUGAACACAAUUUUGAAGUUCUUAAGAAACACAAGUCUGGUUUAUCUACAGCCCCAGCUUUAGAGAUCACUAUUCAAUUAUAAUUAGGAAUUAUGGGAACAAAAAUUGAAUAUACUCAAAAAGAUAGUUUAAGUUUUUCGAUAAGGAUGUAAAAACAUAAAGCUCUAUUAUUAGUAAUUUAGUUUCUUGUUUCUAGGAUUUGUUUUAUUGUUGUAAUUAAUUUCUUAUCAGCAUGUUGAUGACGUAUAUUGAUGAUUUUAUAUUAAAUUUUUUGUAAUUUUUUAAACUUUAUUUUUUCACAAAUAAUAUAAAAUAAUGGUGUCUAAAUAUUUUAAUAUUGUAAGAAUACUAUAAAUUACGUUCUCCAAAACUGAAAAUUCCCCAAAAAAAAAAACGAAAUAAAUCAUUGCUUUAUUAUAUAUAUGAUAUGUAUGUGUAUAUAUAUAAUAUAUAUUAUGUUGAACAUCAAGUUUCCUAAUUUAAAUUGGAUUCUAAAUUAUAAAAUUAACUACUGAUUUAUCCAGAUUGAUAUGUGGUAUUAGUAAUUUAGAACCCUUAUUUUUUUUUUAAAGAAAUAUUGUGCGCAUCUUUUAAAUUUACAAAUUAUUUCAACUUUUUAGAAACAUUUUUUUGGUAAUGUUUUAAGAUUAUUAUAAUAUAUCAUAAAAAAAUUUAAAAAAAAUACCAUAUACCUUCAGAACUAACUAAAGUUUUGUUUUUAUUUUUUGACUUCUGCAGGGAUUGUAUUAUAGACUCCACUUAAAAUCAGCAAUGAAAGGAAAUUUGUUUAUUAAAAUUACUUAAUUGAAUAUUUUUGACGAAAACCACGCGUUUAAUUUCUAUAACAUUCAGAGAGAAUUUUUUUAUUUUUAUUUUUAUCAGCAUAAAAUUAGCGCUGAAAUUUACAUCUCAUGACAAAAAAAAAUAAAAUACAAAAUACAAUCUAUUUUUUCCACAGCAGAAAUACAAAUUGAAAUCUGAUUCACAACCUAAAUUACCGCAUUUAAAUCUUUUUAGUGGAUUUCCAAUACUAUAUGGCUUUAAUAUUGAUUGUUUUAUUAAUAUUUAAAACAAUGAUAAAUGUAAUAGGCCCAAUUUGUCCGGCCCAAAAGCACAAAUAAACCAAAAUAAAAUAAAAACCAAUAGCAGUCCUUUUAAAUGUUUAGUAUUACAAAACCAAUACAAUAUCAACCUAACCCAUUACCUAAUUGCAUUACCCAACACCAGGCCCAAAUUACAAACCCAUUAUAGCCCAAAAUCAAAACCCAGCCUAGCCCCAGACUUUCCAAGCACCAAAAACCCUAAUAGCAACAGGAGCCUUCUGCGCCGCUCCACGUACGCCUGCCCUCGCACGUGCACCAUCGCCUCCACGCCCAGCUGGCGCCGUACGCCCAUACCUGCGCAGCAAACAGACAAACAACACCAACAAGAGCAACAGAAAAUAUAAAAUAUAAAAAAUAUCAGAGAAAAGGACAUGUAUUUUUAUUCUUUUUUUUGUAUUUAUUUUUUUCUCUUCGAUUCAAUUGGGAUAUAAGGUCGAUUCAAACAUUGUAAACGAACGGAGAGACAAUAUCAAUACAUAGAAAAGGAGAAUACUGUAUCAAAAAAACACGAAUUAAUACAAAAGGUUUUCUGUUCCUCUUUCCCAUUCGGUUUUUUUUAUUCCCUUGUUUUCUUUCUUUUUUGUUCAUCAUAUAAAAUAUACGAGCAUAUAUAUAUAUAAGAUAUAAGAAAUAAAAAAGGGGGAGGAUCGUACCUCAUGGCUAGUCUUGCCUUCUACUCGUCGCAAUCGGAGCCGGAAGGAGAUCAAAGGCACGAAACAGCGCAGCAACGAGAGGAAGCUUGCUUAGGGUUUGCUUCAAAUGGCAGAUUAGGCUUAGUUUAGGGUUUUCUUUUUUUUUUUAUACUGAUUAUUGAAACGGCGGCGUUUCAAUCAUGUCUCAGUAGCUUUGAAAACGGCGCCGUUUAAAGGCCCUCGACCCGCGCGGUGACCCGACCCAAGGGAAGGAUCUGCUCGUUUUUGCUAAAUGGUUUAUUUACGCUGCAGGCCCUCCGUGCUUGGGUGUUGUUUCGAUUCAGUCCUUUUUAAUUUAUAUAGUGUAUUUGAUUACGAUUUCAUUUAAGUACUUCCUUAAACGGUGGCGUUUUUGUUCUCUGGAUUUGAAUUCUUGAAGUUGUGCGCUUAAUCGUCACUUUAGUCCUUAGUUUUGAGUUGAUUGUAAUUUUAGUCCUUUGAAUGUUGUAAUUUUAAUGCGAUUACCUUUUUUAUUAUUCUUAUUUUUCUAGUAUUUCAUUUAAUUUUGUAAAUGUUUAUUGUUCUUUUACGACAACUAAACCUUUUAUUAUUAUUAUUAUUAUUAUUAUUAUUAUUGUACUUUAAAUUAAGUUUCAAUUCAAAUUUAGUUUUUAAUAGCAUAAUUAAAUUGGAUUGGUAUCUAUUUUUUUAAAAAUUUAUUUAUAGUAUAUUUUAACAUCCGCUUGACAUUUUUUUAAGUUAUUUAAUAUAAUUUUAAGAUAUUAUUAUUAUUUUAGUUAUUUUUUUAAUUUAUCAUACAUUUUAAAAAAAAAUCUAUUAUAUACUAUUAUUUUAAAAUUUAUUUUGUAUUAUGUCUUGUCAUAUAUUCAUUAUCACUUUGAUUAAUCAUUUUUUAUGUAAAUUCGUUAUAUCAUGUAUACAUUCUUUAAAAUUUUUAUUCUAUAAUAUUUUUCUUUAAUUUCACUCAUUAUAUUUUUUUAUUUGUAUAAGAGUUUUUUUAAACGUAAUAUUAUAUAUAUGUACAUAAUUAUUUCUUUUAAAAAAAUACAUAUAUCUUCCUCCAUAUUUUGUAUAUUUCAACUUUUAAAUAUUAUUAUAUAGAUUAUUAUUUUUAUAAAGUUUUUCAAUCCCUAUGCAUUACUUAUUUAAAUUAAUACAUGUAUAUUAUUACUUACCUUAAUUUUCAUAACACUUGUUUCAAAAUUCAUCUAAAUAUUAUUAUUCAUGUAGUAGGUCUUUGAAGUUGGUUAAUGAUUCGUUUAAUCUUUGAAUGUUGUACAAUGUGGGAUAUGAAAUUAUCACUCCUAUGUAUUGUAUUGCUUAUUUACUUGGCUAUUCUUCAUACAUUAGUGUAUAUUUAAAUUUCGAAUUAUCACUUCACGAUGUGCAUUAUUGCUCCAUCAUUCUUUAUUCGUGUAAAAGGUUAUGCUUAAUAUCAUUUGAGUAUCAAAACCAAGUUAUUCAAAAAUCUUCAAAAUACUCGAAGUUUGGAAUCCUCGAGAGAAUUGAGCCCUAACGUAUUGGGUUCUAAUUUUCCUCGUCGAAUCUAAAUAAUCGAAAUUUUUCAAACAUACAAAUUUCAAAUAAAAACCCAUUCUCAAGAAUUCGACACAUUGUGUCCUAACGCAUUGGAUAUGACAUGUUAUUUUCUCGAGACAUGGAUUUUAAAAAUAAAGGCAAUAUUCGAUAUUUAGGAAUUUUGUGAAAUCGAGCCCUAACUUACUGGGUUUUGAUUUUCUCAUUUGACGAAAAUAAUCAGAUAUCUUUCUCAAAAUGCAUAGGUUUUUAAAGUCAAGAGAUAAAUUUAAUUUUGAGGAUUUAAAAUGUUGCACUCUAACUUACUGAGUGUGACGAUUUAUUUCUUUGAAAUAAGUGAAUCUCAUUGUCUAAUUCAUUUUAUUCAAAAUAAAAGGAUCGUAUUUCAAAAUCUUUUCAAAAUUUCAAAAUUAAGACAUUAAACAAUCGAUUCGGUACCAAUUUUGGGUGUUACGAAGGUGCUAACCCUUCCUCGUGCGUAACCGACUCCCAAACCUAUUUUUCUCAAAAUUCGCAGACAAAAAAUUAUUUUCAGGGUGAUCCGAUCACACCACAAUAAAAGAUCGGUGGUGACUCCCCAUUUUAUUUUUAAAGUCGAUCCCUAUUUUUCAAAUCUCAUUAAAAAUGGUUUCGACAAUAAAUAAAACAAAUUAAUGGUACGGUUUCGGAUUAAUGGUACACUAUACUACAUAAAAUUAUUGUCUUAUUUGUUCUAAUUAAAAAAAAUCCAAUUGAAAGGCAUCACUUUUCUAGUAACUAAUCAUUACGAUAUAACCAUACAUAUACAAAAAAUGGAAAUUCAAUGUUUAUGAGUAGUAGAUGAGAUUUUUUAGCAAAGGUACUCUGCCAAAGUAGCAAUUUCGGGGGAGGCGGUUUCUCCUAUUAGGGUUCUUUUCUUCUGCAGAAAUAAUAGUUUCGUGGGGGUUUUUUCUCUGAUUAGAGAAAAAAUGUUUUUUCUAGUUUUUUAUUCCAAGAAAAAAAUGAUAAAUCUUAUCAAAUCAAUAACCUUUUGAAGAUGGGCUAGCAAAUUUUAAUAUUACCAAUGAAGAAGAAGAAGAUCCAACUCUAGGGCAUGAAGAUGAGUUCAAUCUAUGCCUAGUAGGAUGGGUUCUAACUGAUAGCGUUGUACACUUUCCAUCAAAUGAGGAACGUUCUUGUAGAGUUAUGGUAUCCAUUAAAAGGAGUCUCCAUUAUAGAAAUCGAAGAAAGAAGAAUUUUGUUCAGAUUUUAUAACAAGAUAGAUCUGAAAAGGGUAAUAGAUGGUAUACCCUGGUUUUUCAACAGACACUUGAUUAUUUUUCACCAAUUGUUAAAAGGAGAGGAUCCGAUACAAGUCCCCCUAUUCCACACUAUUUUUUUUUGUGCAAAUUCAUAUUUACCAAUAGAAUCUAUGUUUGAAGGAAUGGCACGAUAGUUGGAGAACUUCAUUGGAGAAUUCCUAGAGUACGAUACAAUGUUAAUAACAAGGGGAAUAAAAAAGUUUAUGCUCAUCAAGGUGUAAUUGGAUAUUCGAUCCCCACUGAGGAAGAAGAAACGUAUCAUAUAUAGUCAAAAUUGAUAAACUUAUGCGAAUUUCCAAUACGAAAAAUUACCCAUUUUCUAUUUUUUAUGUGGAAGACUAGGACAUAGAGAGAGUUUUUGUCCAAUUCGUUUAACACUGGGUUCGCAAGAGGCGGAUGGUGGGUGGGAUAUCUCACUAAGAGUUCCACCGAGAAGAACAACACUGGUUACAAGCAGAUGGUUGAUAGAAGAUUCGAAGGAGGUGGGAAAAAUUGGAAUGGAAGUGGACAGGAGUAGGGAUAGAAGGCAUGUUGGGGUUUCGCUUGGUGAACAAACAACCAAAACAGGAGAUAAAUGGAUAUAGGACAUUAUGAUCGGGAAUGAGAGAAAAUGAGGCAAAUUAAAUGUAGAGCAAAGACUUGGAACAAGAGGAAUAUCAUAUUACAAUUAUUUGAAGGCAGCAAAUAUAGAGUUGGAAGAUAAACCGAUAGGCUUAAUGGAUGGGAAGAAAAGGCAACGAAUGCAUCAAGUGGGGGAGAAGAGUAACAGUAGCCCAAUGGAAGUAGAACUAGACAAUAAAUUAUCGGUGGCCACUAGCAAGUAAGUCGAUCGGUCACAAUGAAAACCUUAAGUUAGAAUGAUCGUGGUUUGGGGCAACUGCAGACAAUUAGAUGUCUCAAAAAUAAAUUGAGACAAAUUUAGCCUUAGCUUUUGUUCCUUAUAGAAACAAAAGUAGGUGCAAGAAGUAUGGAAAUGAUAAGAAGGAAGUGUGGUUUUGCAAAUAGGAUUGAUGUUAAUGUAGAAGGAUCAAGAGGUGGGCUUUCCUUAGGAUGGAGAGAUGAAUUAUCUGUAACUUUAAAAAGUUUCUCAAGCUCUCACAUAUAUGUGGAAGUGUCAGAAGAAAGCGAGGAUCUUGUUGGAGGUUUACCGGAUUCAAUGGUUAUCCAGUAGAGCAUUCGAGGAAGGAAUCAUGGAAUAUGCUUAAGAAGUUGAAGGAAAACAAUCAAUUACCAUGGUUAGUAUUGGGUGAUUUCAAUGAAAUUAUGUUUUCUUUUGAAAAAAAAGGAAGAAGGUUAUGAGAAGAAAGACAAAUGUCAACUAUUAGAGAUGUUUUAAAGGAUUGUGAUUUAAACGACUUGGGUUUCUCUGACAAUGGUUUACUUGGGAGAGGGGAAAACUACCGAAAAAUAACAGAAGGGAAAAACUAAAUAGGGAAGUUACAAAUUUGGCAUGGUGGAAUCAUUUCCUAAACUAUUCAGUACAUCACCUAAAUCAUAGGUUUUCGAAUUAUUGCCCAAUUUUAGUGGAUACCAUACGGAAUAAGAAGGGAAAUCUACUCGAAGGGAAUUGUCAUUUCACUUUAAAGCAAAUUGGAUUAUGAAAAAGGAUUUUGAGAAGCAAGACAAAAAGGAAUGGGAUUCAAAUAGAAAUGAGCUGCCAGAUAAGGUGAAAGAUCUAGGCUAUAUGUUACAAGAAUGGGCAAAAAAUAAUAAAGAAUUUCAAAGAAAAAGAAAAGAGGAUUUGAAUGAAAGAUUAAAUUAGCUAAAAGAGGAAGAUUCAAGCAAGGAAAGCAUGGUAGAAAUCAUGGAUGUUAAAUUGGCCUUGAAUAUGGAGGCAGAUAAGAAAGAAUUAUUCUGGGCACAAAGAGCCAGAGUGAAUUGGCUUCGGAUGGGCGAUUGUAACACUUUAUUUUUUCACAACUAUGCUUCGUAUCGAAAAAAUAAAAAUUCAGUAAAAGGAUUGAAAGAUGAAAACGGGAGCUGGGUACAAGGAGAAAAAGAGUUGAUGGAAUUAGCAACAAAAUAUUUCAAACAUAUAUUUUCUUCAAAACCGGUGUAGAAUUGUGAACAAUUUAUGGCAAAAAUUCUAUCAUGCAUAAUAGGAAGUCACAAUGAGGAACUAAUGUUGGAGUUUAAGGGAGAAGAGGUGGUUGAUGCAAUGAAGCCGAUGGCACAAAUUAAGGCCUCGAGCAAGGAUGGGUUUUUGGCAUUAUUCUAUAAAAAAAUUUGGCAUAUCGUAGGGAACAAUGUAACAAAAUUUUGUUUAAAGGUAUUGAAUAAUCCUAAAGAAUUAGAGGAAGUAAACAAAACCAACAUUGUGGUAAUUCCUAAGGUAUCUACUCCAAAGAAGAUGGGGCAAUUCAUGCCUAUUAGCCUUAAGCUGUGUAUUGAGGAAACGCAAUGAGCUUUUGUCCCACAGAGGCAAAUAACAAACAACAUUUUGGUGGCAUACGAAAUCCUGUAUUCUUUCAAAAAGAAAAAAAGGGUAUGGAACUAGAUCUUUUGCAUUAAAAUUAGAUGAGUAAAACAUAUGACAAAGUGGAAUGGGGUUUUGUCGAAAGAUGCUGAGUAGUUUAGGUUUCUACAAUGACUGGAUUUCACUUAUCAUGAGAUGUGUUAAAAGUGUUGCAUAUUCGGUAGUAAUUAAUGGAGCACAAGGUGUAGAAUUUAAACCUAUAGGAGGAUUAAGGCAAAGGGAUCCUCUGAGCCCAUAUUUAUUCAUAAUUUAUACAGAAGGCUUCUCAAAACUGUUGAAUAUUGCAAAAAGAGAUAAAAAAUUUAUAGGGCGAAAGUGGAAAGAAGUGGAUUAUCAAUAACACACCUAUUUUUUGCCAAUGGUAGUAUUCUUUUUGGGGAGGCAACAAAUGAAGAAGCUAUAGCGAUAAAAUUUGUGGUGAACGAAUAUGAGAAUAUAUCAGGUCAAUUGAUUAAUUUUAAUAAAUCACUAAUCUAUUUUAGUAGUAACGUGUGCAGCAAUGUAAGGAGUCAGAUAAGCAACGUAUUGGGAGUUAGAAUUUCAAACAAUCCAAAGAAAUAUCUUGGCCUUACAACAAUGGUAGGAAAAUGAAAAAAGAACGCAUUUGUAAACAUGAAAGAAAAUUUUAUCAAAAAGAAUGAAAGAUUGGUGUGUGCGUAAUUUAUCACUAGGAGGAAAAGAGGUAUUUAUUAAAGCUGUUUUACAAGCCAUUCCUAUUUAUGCAAUGCAAUAUUUUAUGUUGCUUGUGUCAUUAUGCCGAGAAUUAAAAAAUUUAAUGUGUAGAUUUUGAUGGCGUAAUUUAAAAUCUAACAAGGGCAUACAUUGGUGUAGUUGGAAUAAUAUGUGUAUCAUAAAAACAUAAGGGGGGAUUGGGUUUAAGGAGUUAUCAAAAUUUAAUGACAAGAGCGAUGAAAGCAAAAUAUUAUUCUCGGGGAGAUUUCAUGAGCGCAAGUUUAGGAUCUUACCCUUUGUUUACCUAGCGUAGCAUUUGGGGUGCUCGUAGGUUAUUGGAAAGUGUCUUAGGGUGGAGAAAUGAGAUUGGAGAAUUGGUGAACAUAUGGAACAAUGCGUGGUUGCCAAGUUCUGGUGAUGCAAGAGUAAAGAUUCAGAACAUAGAUAUUAGAUUUUCAAAAGUAGCAGACUUAAUAGAUAAGGGAAAGGUUACUUGGAAAAUUGAGAUCAUUCAAGGGCUAUUUAGCGAGGAGAAAAUGGGGAGGAAUUUGUCUAUCCCUCUGGUAGGCAGUAUGUAGUAUGCAAACAAAUGAGAUAAUAUGAAGGGGCAAUAAUUCUGGAGUCUAUACAAAAAAAAAGCGGUUACAAAUUACUCAUUACAGAAAGCUAGGAUUUGCUAGGAGACCAAAAUACAUUACAAAUUGAAAGAUGCAAUCUGCCUCAAAGUCCGUAGCAAAAUUAGGAUAAACCUAUGGAAAAUCACAUACAACUAUAUGCCUACUCUAGGUAAUCUAAAACUUCACUGGUUAAGGAAAGAUGCAAUCUGCCCAGUUUGCAAAGAAGAAGAGGAGACAGUAGCCCAUCUGUUUAGAGAAUGCAUUUUCACAAAAAAAAGGGUACUAUAGGAGAUUGAGCUGACACCCUUGAGUACAAACAUUAGUCAAAAUUGGAGACAAUGGUUAGAAUCAAAACUAGUAAAUAAUAGUAUGCAGUAUGGAAUAAAUCUGCCCAUGACAUUUUGGGCUAUAUGGUAUGACAGGAACAAACUUUAUCAUGAGGGAGUAAGGGAAAGGGUGCAAGAUGUAGUGAGAUUUGUAACACCCUUAACCCUUCUUCGUUGUCAGAUUAGGGUUACAAAGCAUUACCAUACAAAACAUAAUGUUUAACUUCAAAACAAAAAUAAUUAUGCAAUGUAAUUUCAACAUUUAUUAGCUCAAUAUAACCAUAGUAAAAAGACAUUAUCAGGCUUUAAACCGAGCCUUCGGAGCACUAAAAACAACUUGGAAACAAUUAGGGAUCAAUUUAAGACAAAACAAAAAAAAAUUCGAAAACAUGAAAAAUUUUAGAAACAGGGGUCACAUGGCCGUGUGGCUAGGCCAUGUGACAUAGCCCAGACUGUGUGGACAUUUAAAGUAUGGACACACGGCCGUGUUCCUGCCUGUGCAUCCGCUUGUGUGGGUAUUCAAAAUAGGGCCACAUUGCUGUGUCGCAGGUCAUGUGCCAAAUCGUGUGUGCAUUCGAUGUUGUGUCACACGGUCGUGUCUCAAACCGUGUGAAACCUAUACCUAAAAUAAUAACGACACAUAAUUAUUUACAUCCUUUUUUCCACAUAAUUAUAGCUUGUUUGAUAGCAAAUCAAAACAUUUUAGUAUAUAUUAAUGUUGUCAUACUUAAAGUAGUAAUUUACGUUUUCUAGUAGUUUUUAUUAUAUUUUAUAUAUCAAAAUAAGGUUACAUGGUCUUUUAGGUCAAGUCGGGAGCCAAAGAUACUUAUUUAAGCCAAAACUGAUGCCUGUAUCACGACACUAAGAUACUGAUGUCUCAACGUCGAAGACAGAAACUAAAAACAAAUUUCAGAGCGAUACUACCCUCGAUGUUGCGACAUAGCCCUCCUAUGUCGCGACAUACCCCUUGCGCAGCCAAAAAUUCCUGCACGCUUUAACUACAUUUUGGAGGGAAAUUAGGUGUAUUUAUCUCAAUUGAACUUUAAGGACUUCAAGGAUAAUUUAGGCACUUUAAUAUUUCGAUUUUAGCCUAUAUAAAAGCUACUGUAAUUAAUUUAAAUAUACAAUUUUAGGGUUUUAAUUAUGAGGUUUUACUUUCAUUCUUAGUUUUUACCUAUGUUAUUUUAUGUUCUUGUAACCGGAAGAUCAUAUUUUGAAGUGAGACUUCUGUAAGGGGAGAUUGUUCUAAAACCACACUUUCAUCAAUAAAUCCAUAAGCAUCUCUUUUCCUUAUUCUCUUCUUUCUAUUUCUUUCUUUAACAUUUUUAGAUGAAUUUUUGUGUAAAUAUUAGAAUCAAUUUGUGCUUUCUACAUAUUUUGCAUGUUGUAAUUGCUUGAACUUAAUUAAUUGCUUGAAUGAUAGAGUGUAACACCCUUAAUCUGUCUCCGUCGUCGAAUUAGGGUUACAAAAUGUUACUGUACAAAAUAGAACGUUUAAAUUCAAAAUAGAAUAACAAUUCAACUUACGAAUUGUUUUCUAAUUACUCAAUUUAAUCAUGGCAGUAAUGCACAUUUGGGCCUUAAACCGAGUAUUCGGGGCCCUAAAAAUAAGUUGGAAGUAAUCGGGGGAUCAAUUUGAACAAGUCACAAAAUUGUAAGAAGAACAUGAAAAUUUGAGAAAUAAGGGUCACAUGGCCAUGUGACAUAGCUUAGACCAUGUGGACAUUCGAAGAGCGAUCACACUGUCAUGUCCCAGCCCGUGUGUUCACGAGUGUGUACAUUGAAAAUAGAGUCACACAGUCAUGUCGCAGGCCGUGUGCUAGACCGUGUAACUUACUGAAUUGGUACACAUAGUCGUGUCUUAGACUAAGGGUGUUCAAUCGGUGAACCGAUCCAAAAUAAUAUUAACCGAACUAACCGGCCUUUCAAAAUUUUUAACCGUUAAUUGAACUGAAAUUUUUUCAAAAAAAUUAAUCGAACCAAAAUUUUUUCGAUUAAUUCGGUCAGUUAACUGAAUUAACCGAAUUAUAUAUAUUUUUAUUUUUGGUUAAAAAUUAACCGAAUUAACUGAAUUAACCGAAUUACCCAAAUUGAAUCACUGCAUAAUUAAAAACAUUACAUAAGUCUUUGAAUUUUAUUUUUAUUUAUUAAAUUAUUUUCUUAGACUUUUAAACUUUAGUUUUAGUUUUAGUUUUAGAAUUUUAUUUUUAUUUAUUAAAUUAUUUGUAAUUUUUAUGAUUGGGUUGGGUUGGAUACUUGGGUUGGGAUUGGGUUUAGGGGAAUAGUGGGCCUAUUUAUAUAUUAUAAUUUUAUUUAUUAAUUUUUUCAGUUAAACCAAAAAAAUUCGGUUAACCGACCGGUUUCGAACCGAAUUAAUCGUUAACUGAAAAAUUAAAAAAUAAUUAACCGAACCCCGACUGAAAAAAUUCGAUUAACUGACUGAUUAACCGAAUUCGAUCCGUUAACUGAAUUUUUUUGGUUUUACCCGAAUUUUGCACACCCCUAUCUUAGACCAUGUCUAACUUGCACCUAAAAUAAAAAGUAACACACAAACAUGUAUCCAAGUCGUGUGUCUCACACGACCGUAUGAAAGCUCGUGUCUCAGGUCGUGUGCUCCAUAAUUAUCCCAUAAAACAAGCCAUUUUAAGAUCAAACCUUGCCCAACAAGCUACUCCAUUUGCACAUAGACUCAAAGGCCAUAAACACACUUCAAACAUUCAUAAUAUACCAAUUCAAUGAACUUAGACCUUCUAACCAAUAUGUCAUUCAAAGGCACCUCAUUUCAUAUCAAAACAAAAUCCAUUAAGAACAAAGCUAUAAUGCCACUUCUCAAUCACCAAACUUAGGUAAAAUAGCUACCUAAAGCCAUCUAUUACCAACCCAUUUUACCAUUCAAGAUAAGCAUACCAAAAUGACCAUUUAUGUAACACCCCAAACCCGGCCUAGACGUUAUGGCCAAAUCUAGAGUUGUUACGUAAAAUGGUUAAAAAUUUGAUUUCUGUGUAUCUUGAAACUCGUCGUAAACUCUUAAAUCCCGAAUUACUAAAAAAAACAUAUCUUAUCUAACUAUUUAUUUGAAAGCAAUGUUUGACUAUAUUUUCUAAAACUUAUGAUUUUGCAGCCGAAACCCUUAGAAAAAUGUAUUUUUGAAAACACAACUUGUUAAUUGAAACCCAUUGAUUUUGUAGAAAAUUAUCGUUGUCGAUAAAACGUUUAAACAUUAUUAUAUGAAAACAGAAAGUAAAAUUCCAAAACCAAAAAUAGUUCCAAAUGUCCCGAGAGUCCAAAAUUUAGAUAACUCUCAAACCAAAAUUUUGAUUAAGUCAAAUUUAAGAAAAAUACGGUAUUAACUGAGCUUCUAAUUGCACCGAUCCUACUAAGUCUGAGGAUUACCUGAAAAUAACAGUCAAACGAAAUAUGAGUUUUCGAAACUUAGUGUGUAACAAACAACUCAAACAAUUAGUUAUUAACAAACAAUUUAUCAAUACAGAAUCUUAAUAGAGCAGUUCAAAUGCAGAUAUACAAAUAUAAUUCCUACCCCCAACCACUACACACCAUCUCCGACUAUCCCAACACUCCACUUAGUGUCGUUAAGACAUUUACCAGAUAUUUGCAGCUGAGUUGCUGGUAUAAUAGAUGAGGUAUCACCACUAACAAAAACACUUCCUCCAGAGAAUACAACUCAUCCAAAUGCAGUCAUAAAUCAAAACAUAAAUCAUACAUGUUACAGUUAUACAUGCAUGACAUAUCAAAUAGCAAACAUAUGCAAGGAAUUUUCUGAAUUACUCAUAGCCUAUCACAGAAUCAGAUAAAAUAAAAUAAAAUAAAAUCCCUUAACAAAUACUAUCCCACAACCUGAUAACUACCCAGUAUUUUAUUUUCAAUCCAACUCCACCCUAUACGCUCUUGAUAGAAAAUUGCAAAAAAAAACCCUUUUUUUUUCACACAUAGAUUUAAACCUAAAACCCUUAACACAUAAACAAGGCGCCCAACCACUAAAACAAAUACUAAUUAAUGACAAAAUUUAAAAAUUCAUGUAUACCAAAUUUUAGGGCAUUACAAUUUACAUAUAGCUUUUAACAUAUAAACAAACCAACCACACCAUAUAUUCAUACAACUAUUUACAAAAGAAACCAAAACACACAAAAGCAUAAAUGACAUUACACCCUAUACAUGCCAUUUAUAACCAUAGUUCAAAAUAACCAAAAACUACCAAACUGAUUGUGGGUUAGUGUGAUAGGUCUUCGGCAAAGUUCCAAGUGAUCAAACUUUCGAUGAUCUACAAAACAAAGAAAGCAACUACGUAAGCAACAAAUGCUUAGUAAGUUCGUAAAAGGUAAACUUUAACUUACCAAACAUCAUUUAACAAUCCAUUCAACUAAUCUCAUUGCAUCAUUUUACAUUAUAAUUUCAUAUGCACCAUAAAUCACAUGGUUAGUAAAUAUCAUGAAAACAUAACAUAUAUGCAUCAUCUCACAUACUAGUACGUGAAUUCCAUACCUUACUUUUUCAUCACAUAAAAAUUUUCCAUUUCCUAAAUUCAUAUAUAUCAUACCUUUUCAAUUAAACAUUAACAAUAAUAGGUGUGUUUGCAUGCUUUUCCUUCGUCCUUUACUUACCCGUUGAACCAUCUAGAAUUUAAUUGGAUACUCGAAAAUGCUCACACAUAGUGUGUCUUUUCAUGUAAUCAUAACAUUUCCUUUUCAAUAAUGCUCACACGAGUUGCAGAGAAUCCGCAACAAAUGUAGGACCUCAGCCAUUGGUAGGACAUUCAAGAUCAGCACCCGAAACCAUAUAACCCUAAUGACAUGUCAUUUGUAUCCUAAGAAUUCUUAAGGUUCAAACGGGAUUAAUUAACCGUCAACAUUCCGAAGUAUUAUCAUAUCAUCGAGUAAAAUUAAACCUAAUAUAUUAAAAUGAAUAAAAUCAAUUCAAUUAAUCAUUAAUAUAAUUAUAACUCAUACGAACUUACCUAGACCACCACAGUUGUUUAAGCUAGAUUGAAACUAACUCAAGAUUUUUGCUUUUCCUUGAGUCAAGUCCGAUUAAUUCUUUUCUUGAUCUAAAUAAUAAUUUAAUUCAAUUAAGUACUUCAAAUAAUCUCAGUUAUUCAAUUCAAGUCUAUAAUCCAUAUUAAUAAGAAAUUUUGAAUUUACCCCUACACUUUUAACCUGUUCAGAUUUUAACCCUUAAGCCCAUAACAAGAAAAUUCACCAUUUUUUUUCUACUCACAACAUGUUAGCCAAUUCUCCCUUAUACUCAUAUCAACCCACAUUUUCCAUAUUUCACAAAAUAUACAUGGAAUUUACCAUUCUAACAAAUAAAUCCCAAAACCUUAAAUUCACUAAAAAUCUUAUAACCAAACAUGUUCAUUUAACUAUCUACUAAUUAACUUGACAAACACAUCAAAUGCAUCCAUGGCAAGUCUCUCAACCAUUAAAAACUUAACAAAAUAACCGCCAGGCUAACUAAAUUAAGCUAAAACGACCUCGAAAAUAUAAAUAUAACUAAAACAUGGCUUGAAUACAUAUCACGCAAAUUGAUUUAAGCUUGCCAAAACCUAAAGCUAAACAAUCGUGUUUUUUGGUUGUUAAAUUUGGUGGAGAAGAAAAAAAUUAUAAAUAUGACAUUGGUUUGUUUUAUUUAGAUUAAAAUUUAUUUAUUUACUAUUUUACCCUUAGUUUAAUAACUUACAAAAUGACAAAAAUUAAACUCAUAAUGCUCUAUUAACUUUUCAUAUGGUAUAAAUAUCAUAUAAGUCCAUUAACUUUCCUUUCCAUAGCCAUAUAACUUAUUUAACUAAUAAAAUCUCACUUUCACAGCAUUUACAAUUUAGUCCUUUUGAAUUAUUUAACCAUUUAAACUUCAAAAUUUCUUAACAAAAAUUUAAUACAACUUUAAAAUAAUACCAUAAAAAUUAAAUAAACAUUAAAAUAUUAACUCACUCGUCAGAGUCGUGGUCUGAAAACCACUUUUCCUGACUCUACUGAAAUCGGGUUAUUACAUAGAGUUUCUUAGCGGAUUAGCUAUUUGGAAAAGGAAGAACGUGAAAUAAACUCUAGGCAUGACAACCCUAGGAAGUCAUUUAGGUAGGAAUUAACCAAAAAUUGGUUUGACCUAUCCGUGAACACCUUAACCUCGAAUCGGUUUGGACUGUGAGGUCAAAAGAUAAGUAGUUAUUUCUGACUCAUUGUUCUAGUGGAAGAUCAAAAGAACCUACUAGGGUAUCAACUAGUUGAUUGAUUAGAAUUCUACCUCAAUAAUUAAUUAGGUAGAAACAAUUGGAUCUACGCUAAAAGGAACUCGCGUAGUCAAAACAAGGAAUAAGAAAAGUCGAUACAAGAACCUAGGAGUAGAUUUAGGUUUAAUUAAAUUUAUUUAGUUUCUUAUUAUUAUUAUCAUCUUUCUUAUUGAUUAACACUAAUAAUUCGUGACUCGAGUAGAUUAGUAAUUAUUUCCUAUAAUUGGCUUGAAAAUAGUUUUCCCCAUACUACAAUCCCUUGGGUACGAUCCUCGGAAUACUUACUAAGUGUUUCAUUGUAAACAAACUAUAUUAAAACAUGAGUCGUAUACUUGUGGACAUGCCUCGAAUCUAUAUCUUUAGUUCAAGUAUUCACACCCUGGAUGUUGGUACGUCUGGAAGCGGUCGGUGUCACAGGCUGUGUGCUUCAUAAAUUGCCCCCAAAACAAGACAUUUCAAACUCAUUUCUUGCUCACAAAGACACACCAUUUCCACAAACAUUCAUAGAACCAAAACACAUUUUAAACAUGCUUAAAACAUACCAAUUCCAUCAACCUAUAAGACUAACCAAUAUACCAACAAAAGGUACCACAAUCACAAACUAAAUAUAAUCUCAUUCAACAUUACAAGUUCAUUUCAAUAAACUUAGAUCAAACAUACCAACAACCUUUUUAAUAGCAUACCAUUCAACCAUGACUUACCUAAUAUAAGAUGGAAUAUGCACAAGAGCAACUUCACCUAUUUACAUCAUCAUUUAUACUACAACACCAACUAAACUCUUGAUCAUAGUAAACUUAUCAUAAUCUCAAGACAUCAAAGGAACCAAGAUUACAUUUAAGUUCUAAACGUGGCAAAACGCAUAUAUCAUUCAAUCUAAAUGCCUAUCCAAUAUACCCUCAUUGGUACCACAAAUAAACAUAAAAAACAAUUUAAACUAUUACUAGAAGACUAAUAUUAAACAUGCAUCUCACAUACUAUUUGACCACUUUUUCACAUCUCAAUGCUAUCAAAAGUCACCUACUUCAAUAGACAUUCACAAAUAACAAAAUCACAUAUUUUCAUAUACAUUAAUAAGCCAAAAUCAAAACAUAUGAACAAGAACUCUCAAAUCAUAUCAUAUUGGCCAAAUAACAUAAUACACCUAUUACAUGCCAUUUAUAACCAUCAACAUAAUAACCAAAGUCUACCAAAAUGAUGAUUCAAUAGAGUGAUUGUGCUCCGAAGUGAUUCGAACCGAUUGAGUUUUUUGAUGAUCUACAAAAUAGAGAAAAAUAACUACAUAAGUAACUAAUGCUGAGUAAGCUCGUAUAAAAGGAACUUAAACUUGCCGAACAUGAAAUGAUUAAACCAUUCAAUCAUUGAUCAAAUCAUAUGGAUACUGUUCUUUCCUAUUCACAACAUUCCACAUGGUUAGUAGAUAUACUUAAAAAUAUAUCAACCUAUGAAACAUGGUACAUUCAUGAAAUGAAUUUCAAUAUAAAACUAUUCAUCACAUGUUCAAUUAGUUCCCUUUUCAAUCCAUACUUUUCCUUUUCACAUGUUCAUUAACAUGUACCAAUGCAUAUAUACACAUUUCCAUUUUAUGCCUUAAUUUCCAUUCAAUUACAUAUAUUACAUUUCCAUUCCAUAUUCUCAAUGACAUAGCUCAUUCCAUAAAUACACCUUUUUGUUUUAAACUUUAAUUACCCGUUGAACCAAAUAGAAUAACAUAAGAUACUCAGGAAAUGCUCACACAAACUAUGCCUUUACAUGUAACUAUAAUCGUCUCUAUAAUGCUCACACGAGUUAUGAAAUGAGCUUGCUCACACUAGCUGUGGGUCGGGAUGUUAGCUACACGAUGCUACUCAUAAGAGCUAUGGAGAAUCCCCAACAAAUGCAGGACCUCAGCCAUCGGUAAGACAUCCAGGACCAACACCCAAAAUCGUAUAGUCCCUAAUGACAUGUCAUUUGUAUCUUAAGAAUUCUUAAGGUUCAAACGAGACACUUUUAUAUAUCAGUCCUUUAACUUCUUCCAUUUCUAUCAUUUCAACUAUGUACAUCUAUACAACUCACGUUUUUCACAAAUAUCCAUCAAUUGUAUAAACAUUACAAAUCAACCCAAAUCACUAAUUAACAUGGGUAAAUUUAAUAAUAAUUAAACAAAGUAUAACAUUAACUAAUCAUUCAUUUAAAUUAGAAAUUAACUAUUUUACCAUUAUACGAACUUACCUCGAUUGAAACAGUUACUAAAAUGGAGUGGACAACUAGUCCAAAACUUUAGCUUUAUGCAACCCAAUUAAGAAAUUUUCAAUAUUCUAACAAGUAGUUUUAUGCAAUUAAACCCUUUCAUUAUUAAUGUACAAAUUUACCCCUAAUAUUUUAUCUUUUCUACAGUUUAGUCCAUAAAUUCGAAACUUGCAAAUUAGCCACUUUUAAUUAAAAUUCAUGCUAGUCGAUUUUCCCUUAGUCUUAUAACAACCCAUAUUUUUCCUCAUUCCACACAAUUUAUAUUAAAUUUUACCAUUUCAAUAAUUUAAUCCCUAAACAUUAAAAUUAUCAAAAAUCAUUUAACAAAAUACUUAAAUUUAACUACCAACUUUAAUAAUCUAUCAAUUGAAAUAAAAAACACCUCAAACUCAUUCAUGGAAAGUCCCUAGACUUUUAACAUUUUACAAAUUGACCAUUGGGUUAGCUAGAUUAAGCUAAAAUGAUCACAAAAAACAUAAAAAUCAUAAAAAAAUGGGAUAAAAAACAUACCAUGCACCAAAGACAAGCUUGGUUGAAUGUUUCUUCACUUAACAAUGGUGGUUUCGACAAACAAAAGGAAAAAAUAAAGAUGAUGAUAGCUAAUUCCUUAUUUUUUUAUGUUAUUAAUUAUUAAAUUACCUUUUUAACCUUAAUAAUUUAAUGAAUAAAAACCAAUUCUUUGUCCAUAAAUGUCCACUACACAUUUAUAUAGUUUAAUUACCAUCUAAGCCUAUAACUUUAUCUUCAUUAACCAUCUAACUCAUUUAACUAAUAGAAACUCACUUUUGCAUCCUUUACAAUUUAGUCCUUUUUAAUUAAUUAACUAUUCAAACAUUAAAAGUUCUUAACCAAAUUUUAAUAUGGCCCUAGUAGCAAAUAUUUAACAAAAUAUUUAUGGGCUCGGUUUAUAGACACGAGAUCAUGGUACCUCUUUUUCUAAAACCACUUGACUUCAAGGAUUAACCACUUGAACUUGACUAUAUGACCAACCAACAAAAAUUAUUAAAUCAAAAUUUUAUUAAUAGUAUACUUGACUCAUAAAUAUUAACUACUAUUUCAUUAAUAGUAUACUCUCUCGUUAGAUUUGUGGUCCUGAAACUACUAUUUCUGACACAACUGAAAACGUGUUGUUACACGAUUUAUCAAAGUAUACAUAUCAAAACUAAAAAAAUUGGAAGAUAUUACUGAGAUUAAGCAAAGAACAGCGAAGGAAGUUUUGGAAACACCCGAGGGGGAGAUAGUUAAAGUUAAUUUUGAUACAUCUUAUCAACAACGUUUGAGCAAAGCCAUAUUCGGGGUUAUAAUCUGAAAUAAAGAUGGGUUUGUAAUGGGAUUUUGCACUUACCCAUGGGAGAAUGUUUGAAAUCCAACCACUGCAGAAGCAUAGGCGUGCCAAUAGGUAGUCAAUUUCACAGAAGAAAUGGGCUUUAGAAAGAUGAGUGUAAAAGGGGACGCUCUAACAAUGAUAAAAAGGAUAAAAUUUACAGAGAAUGAUAGAUCAAUAAUAGGAAACAUUCCCAAAGAAAUUAACAAUAGAUCACGCAGGUUUAGAUACUUAUCUUUUAGGCAUGUGUCCGGGACGGCGAAUGAGGUGGUGCAUGCGCUGGCAACACGAGGACAUGGGUUUGAAACUUCAAUGUACUGGGUGGAAGAAAUCCUAUCAAAAGUGGAACACUUCGUUAAAAAAGAUAGAAAGGGCUCCCAAAGGGUAUAAAUGAAAUGGGAUUUUUUCUCUAAGUCUGGAGGAUAGUAAAGGAUAGUCUUCGAAGAAGUUAGUGGUGUAAUGGACUGGAAAAAGCAAGAAACUUCAAAUGUAGAAAUUUUAGAGGAGAACCAGUCCAUCAGGAGACUCUCUUUGAUGCAAGUUGGGGCUUUUUUUUUCUAAGAGAAGAUAGAAAGAUUCUUAGGUUUUGUAAAGUUUCUAUUUUUCUAUCAAUUGUUUUUUUUUCUAUUUCUCUUUUUCUGCUUUAGGUUUAGGUUCACCGAGUGGUUUUCAUAUGCAUAUAUUUAGUAAUAAAUGCUCUUCUACAUUUUGUGUGACCUUAGGCAUCUCCCGUUUUAGCCACUAGUGUUGGAAUGCUUGUAAUGGUGCUAACAAGGCAUAUCUUUGUAAACUAAAAUCUUCUUUUAUUUAAUCCAUCGGUUGAUAGAAUUUUCAAAAAAAACCAAUGACUAAUAAAAAAAAUCAUUAAAUAUUAAAUCUUUUAGAAUCGAAAUAUAUACACAUGUUAGUGUCAAAUGACGGUGUAUAAACUAGGCAUAAUUGCAAAAAAAAUCCCUCAACCUUUGGGGGCUUUUGGAUAUAUGCCCCUAACCUUUUUAUUUUCUGAAAUCAACCCUCAACGUGACGGAUUUUUCAGACAUCAACCCAGUUGAAAAGGUAACCGUUAGCUGAUAGUCAGUCAAAAAAAUUGGUCUAUGUGGCGUUCUAGUUGACAGAUGAUGUCGUAGACCUUAAAAUAAUAAUGCUAACAUGUCAACAAAAUUCAAAAAAAUUAAUAAACAUAAAAUAAAAGAACCCUAAAUCCCCAAAACAUCUCAAACCCCUAAAUUCAAAACUUUUUUCCCAAAUUUUAAAAUCCCCAAAAUUGUGAAAUUCCUUAAAUCUAUAACAUCCAAAAUCUUUAUUGAAUCCCUAAAAUAUUCAGCAAUCUCCUUUUUUGAAUCAUUGAUUUAGGGAUUUUUCUACAUCCUUAAUCCCUUAGAACCAAAUCGUGAAAUCCCUAAUCUUUCCAGAAAAUUUUAUUUUUCUUCCUUGUCGUCUGAAAUCAUGGAUUCACAUAGUUCGAAUAGUCAGUCUAGAGGUCGAGUAAUGCAUGGUUCGAAGAAAAAAUCAUCAUACUUAAAUAUUGUUACUUCAUCACGGAAAGAGUAUGUCUACGAUGGACUAGCAGUAAAAUGUCGCUGCAAUAUGUUAGCUCUAAGAGACACUUCAUGGAGUGAUUUAAAUCUGGGGAAGAGAUUUUAUGGUUGUUCAGAUUUUUGGGUAAGUGAAGUUUUUUAUUUGCAAAUUGAGCUUUAGCUCAACUUUGAUGAUUUCAUAAAUCUCACUAUUUGUUUUGUUUUCAUUUUGGAUUAUUUCAAUUUGGCUGAAUUGAGGUUUGUUUGUAGGAUGGAGGUUUCGAUUUCUUCAAGUGGUACGAUGGGAAAAUGUGUGACCGUGCGACUGAUUUAUUGCGUCAAUUGUGUGAUAGUGAACGAAAUCUUUUGAAGGAUAAUUUAGCACUUAGAAAGAAUAUUAUGGAUUUGGUUGCAUUUGAUGGUAACCAUAAUGGUUGUAGUAGUACUGUUGACAUUGAGGUUGAAGGAGGUAGAUCAAUUUUUGGUGUUGAAGAAGUAGCAUUAAAUAAGAAAAUGUUGACCAUGAAGCAAAAAAUUAAAGUUAUCAAGAAAGAGAAGUCAAUGUAUAAGAUAUUAUUUUCUUGCUCUAUGUUAUGUAUUGUAUGCAUCACCAUAGGUUUCUUUUCUGGCAGUAGUGGUAAGAGGCAUAUGCUAGCAGUUGCAAAUGUUGAUUGACCAAUAUUGGUUGUUUUUUAUGUAAUUUAACAGUCUGCUUGGAAGUAAUGACUAAUAUUUGUUGUUUAUGCCUAAUUUAAUUUAGCUUAGUAAAUAAUGCAGUGACAAUAAACAUAAACUGAAAGGAAAAAUUUGAUCAUUUAAGCAUAUGAUUUCCCCAUUGUAAUUUGGAUAAAUGUACUUUACAAAAGCAUAUGAUUAGUCUCUACACCAUUCACCUUAUACACUAUCCACGCUAUACCAGCCAAAAACCAGAAUGUGAGUGAGCUAUACAUGAAGCAAAAAAAAAACCAACAUAUUGGUUUUCAUUACAACAAAAUAACAUUCAACAAUGAUGUAUUUCAAAACCAGAAUGUUGUAGGCUCAAAAUGUGACUAUCAUCUUCUGUUCCAAAACCAAAAUGUUGUAGGCUCAAAAUGUUGUAGGCAAACUAUCUUACACUGUCCUUUUUAGAUCACGAGCUGUAAUGAGAUGGUCCUACAAAACAAAAAAAAACAUAUACAAAUAGAUAAAUGUAAUUAUGGCACCCUGGAUAAAAUGAUUUGCUUGAUAAAAGAACUUCACAGAUAGAAAACUGUUGCAAUAAGAGACUUGUGUUGUUAUGGACCUAUUUGUAGAAGGUUAUAUCCACAAUCAUGAAGUAAAUUAUGGCAUGAUUUGACAUACAACAUAAAGAAAACGAUAGCAUCCCUAGUUCCAGAGAAAGCACAACAUAUAUAUAUAAUGAAGCUGCAUUUUUUCCAUGUAAGAUUGCACAAGUUCAAAAGCAAGUUAUUAUUGUGAAUCACAAGAUAAACAGUAGAAGCCAUUCAAAACAAAAUAAUGAUGACUUAUUCAUGUUUCUUGUGACUGAUUCUUGUGUCCCUAGAUGGUCAAAAUGAGCCUUUCACUUGUUAUUUCGCGACUUGGGUGUUGUAGAAGUUUGUUCACUACCAUCUUGGCAUGAAGCUAUCGUCAUGCUUCUUGUGGUUCUACUAGACUACAAGAGUAUUUUAUAUUAAUAUUAACACUAUAUACAAUGUUUGAUCAAUAGUAAAAAGAAGAAACUCACAUAAAAUAUUCGUUUCCCAUUAGAUUUAUCUAAGGUAGUCGACUUUUUAAUGAAAUAUUUCCCUUUUUGUUUGGGUGGUUGUGUAUCUUGCUGCAAAAAAUGGACCAUAAUCAUUGGUUAGACAAAAUAAAAAAAAAAUACUCAAUAUAUAUAACUGAAAAACAACACUGUACCUGCUUCGAAUUUGUGCAAAACUGCGUGUUAUGGCCAUAUUGGCCACAUUGAGUACAUUUCAUGAGUAGACCUUUCCUACUCAAGUGACCAGGCUUCAAUUUUUUUGGUUCAUCUUUGGCCAUCCUCCUAUUCUUUGUGGGACUCUCAGUUAUCUUCUUUUUCAAUAAAAGGUAGCACUAGCUCAAUACCAAUUUUUUCCCAAUCAUGUGGCCUACUAAUGGGCUGCAUUGGAAAAGAGUAAGCUUUCUUGUAGGUAUCAAUAUGAUAAUAUUCAUACAGAUAUUCAUCUGGUUGAAGCCUUAAGUGAUACAUUGCAACACAUGCAUGGGAACAUGGAAUCCCACUAAUUUGCCAACAUCUACAACUACAUAUCCUUUGACUUAGGUCCAAUGUAUAUUGAUAACUUCCUUUCCUCAACACACAUCCAUGUUUACAAUUCCAUAUCAGUUGCCACUCUACACUAUCCUUCUUUUAAGCAUCAAACUUAGCUUUCACCAAUGGACCGUAAUUUUGCUUCAAUCCAUUACAUAACUUCCUUUUUUGUACUAUCCUAGUCAUCAUCUUGGUCUUAAUAUCCUCAAGCAUUCAGAUAAUGCUUUUGAAUUUAGCUUCAACAAUGCUUGAAUUGAAUACUUCACACAAAUUGUUGCCAACUAUAUCUAAUUUAUAAUUAGUCCCAAAAAAUGCCCUAGUCCACAUCUUUAGAGACUUUUUCAUCAAGUUAUCGUAAGCAUCUUUAUCUUUUUUCUCCAGUGCUGAACAUAGAUCCUCCAACUCCCUCUCAGUCGUGCACUUCACAAUUUGCUAGAAAUCACACUCAUAAGAUUUCCCUAACUUCCUCCCUGACCAAUUUGCAAACACAUGCUUCACAUAAUUCCUAUGCUCCACCAUUGGUAGUAUGUCAGAAAUUGCAAUCUCAAGGUCCUAAUUCAAAAUAAUGAACAAGAUAGAUUGUUAGAAGAUUUUAGUUAAAUACAAGCAACGGAUUAAAAAACAAUACCAAGCUUAAAUUUGCAUAUUUACUAACCUUUUGUUGGUCAUUGAUAAUUGCGUACCCAUGCCUAUCUUCCAAGCCCAAAUUAGUUGAUAAGAGACUGAGAAACCAAGUCCAUGAAUCAGUGCCCUCCACUUCAACCACAACCUAUGCAAUAGGGAACAUUUGGUUGUUUGCAUCCUUUCCAAUAGUUGCGAGAAAUUCACUCUUAAGUGGGCCUUUCAAGAAGCAACCAUCUAGCCCAAUGAGUAGCCUACACCCCACUUUCCAGCCUCUCCUUAGUGCAUCAAAACACACAUAAUACCUCUUAAAAUGAGGGAGUCUGCUGUCACCCUUUGAACGACCAUUUUUAUUGAGCUUUCUGGCGUCUUUGGCCCUAACUCAUGAGCAUAAUCCUAUAGCAAGCCAAAUUCCUCCUUAUGAUUCCCAACCAUUUUCCCCUUCACUAUUUUCUUCUCCUUAUAACAACAAUCAAUGGUCACAUUUACAUGUAUCUUAGAAGCACAUCUUCUUUGAAUUUCACUUAGCUUCAUUUUAGGGUGGUCCUUGAUAAUUGCUUCAAAAUGUUGGGCAAUCAUAGUAGCAGUCACCAUUUUGUUCUUAAAACUAACCAAACAAUGGUGCUCAUCCUGAAACAUCUUUACUUGCAAGCAUUUCGCAACAGGACUGUAGCUAGCCCUAAUUCUCCAUGGAUAGUUAGGGGAAGCAAUGCACCUCACAAUAACCCUUUUCUGGUUUAUUCUUAAUAAACUUCAGUUGUCGUCUACAUUCUUUGGAGUACUUUCGAAUUACGCUCUUAAACUGUUUUGCUAUCCUUAAACAACAUUCUCAAACUAAAUUUUAACUUAACAUUGUAUAAGGGAAACUUGCUCAUUUCUCUCACUAUCUUUAUGUUCUUCAUCUUCAUCAGACCCAACCAAGCUUCCAUGUUCGUCUGAGUCUCAUACCUCAGUCUCAUUCCCAUCCUCCACUUCUCUACUAACUGCAAUAGCAAUAUUAUCCACUCCAUUUGAUGUUGCAAAAUCACUAGCAUAUUCAUCAACAGUAACUUCACUAUCAUUAUCCUCUCCAACAGUGGACCCUAAACUAAUUUGUCCAUCACUUUCCAUACCAACAUACUUAUCUACCUCAAUACUAGUAGCAGAGACACCCUCCCAAUCAGCUGGUACCCCUCUUACAUCUCCCUCACCCUCCCCACCAGAUUCUAGCCUUUCCAUAUCACCUUCACCAUCAGAUUCUACACCUUAAUCAUCACCCUCCCCAACAGUCAAUAGAUAAAUUUUGUCUAUAAUUAUAAGGUUAUCAACCUCAUCUUCAACAUAUAAAUCCAUCUCCUUAAACUUGACCCAAAAGUCUAACAUAGCUAUGGUCGAAAUGUCGUCACCAAUCACCCUUAGAUUAUUUUGUAACCUUAUUGUACCAAGCUCAUGAAAAUAUAUUAACAUGACAGUGUUAAACCCUAACCCAAUUUUCACUAGUUUACAUAAUUCAAAAUAAGAUAUUGUGUCUAGGUCCUCUUUAAGCCUAAUCACUUCUUCACCUGCAUAUCUAACAUAUGGGUCCUUUACAAAGUGCCCACCCACGUGCAAAAUAAUAUAAUAUUCCUCAUCUGAUGACAUCUUCAAAGCAUAAACAAACAAUUUUCUCAGCAAAACACAUUAAAGAAAAAAAAACAAAACUCACUACCUACAUCGGGACCACUUCUUUGAAUACAAUACAAAGCAGUAAAACAUGUUUACAAUUUUAACAUCUUUUUUCUUGGGUAACAGAAAUCAAUAACAUCGGGACCACUGUCACAUCAUAAAACGACAAAACAAACCCUACAUUGUGGCACUGAAAUUACAAUAAUAAAUCAUAAAUAACCAUCUACAAUUUUAACAACAACUUUAUCAACAAAAUCAGGACCACUGUCGCAUCACAAAUCGACAAAACAAACCUUACAUUGUGGCACUGAAAUUGCAAUGAUAAAUCACAAAUAACCAACAAAUCAAACCAAAAAUGGAAUUUAUUUUCCCAACAAACCAAAUAAGAAAGCACCUAUCUUUCUUUUUUGGAUUACAAAAACUGCUCAUGAUUGUUGAAGCUUUUUCGCUAUUAAAAUUUUAGGGAUUCAAUGAUUUGAUUAGUACAAUUUUUAGGGAUUAUAAAAAUAUUUUGGAACGCUAACGAUUUAAGAAUUUCAAUAUUUAGGGAUUUAAAGAUUUUAAAGAUUCAACGAAGAUUUUAGAUGUUAUGAAUUUGGGGAAUUUCACGAUUUGGGGAUUUUAAAAUUUGGAAAACAAGUUUCGAAUUUAAGGGUCUGAGAUGAUUUGGGGAUUUAGGGUUUUUUGUUUUAUUUUUAUUAAAUUUGUUUUUUUGCCACGUCGGCAUUAUUAUUUUAAUGUUUGCCACAACGUCAAUCAACUGGAAUGUCACAUAGACCAAUUUUUUUGACCGGCUGUUGACUAACGGUCAGUUGACGGUUACUGUUUCAACUAGGUUGAUGUCUAAAAAAUCUGUUAUUUUGAGUGUCGAUUUUAAAAAAUAAAAAGGUUAGGUGCAUAUAUUCAAAAGCCUCCAAAGGUUGAGGGCUUUUUUUUCCAAUUAUGCAUAUAAACUAUGACACAUUAGAUUAUUUACUAAAUUAUAACUUCAUAUUAUUAUAGUGUAUAUAACUUUGAUUGUUUAAUAAAUUUUCUUUUUCAUUUUAAAAUUUAAACGUAUGGUAAUAUAACUUUGUUGGAUCCUUCUGCAAUUGUUACUAGAGAUCGUCAUUUUACCUUCCAACAUUAUUUCUACAUGAUAAUCAAAAUUUAAAAAGUUUUCACAAACAAAAUAUCUAGAUUUCCCUUAUUCCAUUUCUAAUGCAGAUAAUUCAACACUCACAACCACCAUUGUUCUAUUCAAUCCCACUACCCAAUGACCAAUAAAACUCACUGGCUACCAUACCUUCACCAUACGGAAAGCCCAAAUAGAGAUGUUGAUACAUGGCCAUAAGUUGUUUGGCAAUCCUAAUGGAAUUGUAAUUGUCUCACCAAAGACACUCACCAAUGAAAAUCAAACCACCCCAAACUCAAACUACUAAACCUAAUUUUGCUAAAAUAAACUGAUUCAAAAUGUUAUUUUAGCUUCUGUUGAUCCUACCUUUCCAUAUACCAUAACAAUCGCAUCUACUAAUCAUAAAGCAUGGCAAUCAAUGAUACAACCUUUGCUAAAAUAUCUCAAACUAGCCUUCAAAACAUACUAACACACAUCAUCAAAGAUGCUCGCUCUAUCAAUCAUUAUUACCUUUGUGAAAUCCACUUUAUUGUUGAUAAGCUUGUCACUACUGAUGAACCCAUCACCAAUUUUGCAUCAUUGUUCAAAUCCUACAAGGUCUUGGUCACAAAUACAAACACAUCUCUAUAGUCAUUCAAUCUUGUUACACAUACAUCAGGUAUGAAGAGCUUUACAACAAGCACCUCAACCAUGAAAUCUUUUUUAUAAUAGCUCAAUUUUUAGUGGUACUAAAUAAUGCAGUUUCAGAACCCCAUUUCCAUAAAUCAAGUCCAUAAAUAUUACAUAUGAAUAUUUAUGGGGUUAACAUAAAAGUGUAUUGAUGUUUGGCCCAUCAAAUUUGUCAAUUAAAUAGUUAAUUUAGGUAUAAGACUAAAUUGUAAAAGUCUAAUCGCUAUAGGUUUUUAAUUGACCAAAGGCUUAGGGACUUAAAUUGCAAUUAUCUAAAGGGCCAAAAUGGUUAAUAAACCAUAUUUAAUCUGCGCUAGUGGAUGAAAAUGAUGUGUAUGGGUUACCUUAAGCAAUUAAAGGUUUAUUUGAUUAAAACAUAGUUAAUUAAGGUUAAUUAACAAGUUAAUCCAAGUAUAAAAAUAAAAGUUAGUGGAGAGAAUAGUAUUAUCUCCUUCAUUUUGAUUUUUUACAGUUUAAAAAGAAAAAGAAAACCUAAGAGGGUAAGCCAUUUUCAUGUUAUUACAUUCGACCAACAAUUAGGUAUGCAAUUUAAGCCAUUUCUUAUUUUUUUUUAUAAAUUUGAAGUAAUAAGAGCUUGGUUUAGCUAGCUCACGUACCAAUUUAUGAAAAUUUUAAAGUUUUAGGAAGUUGUCAUUGUUGAGAAUUAGAUGAAAUUGGUGUGAAAUUGUUAGAAAUUAAGCUUAGUUUAAGGAAAGGACUAAAUUGUAAAGCUUAAUGGUUAGUUACGUACAUGAGGGAUCAAAUUGAAUAAAAUUCAAAACUAUUAUAAAAUUUCGAUAAGAAUAGGAAGUAGGGGGUCCUAAUGAAUAUAUGUGAAAUCAAAUUUUAAUCUAAAGCUAGAAAUCGAAUGUUAUGACUAUUCCAGUUCAAGGAAUAAAUUGAAUAAAUGUAAAAUCUUAGGAAUAUCAAAAAAUUAGUUCAUAUAGGUUCAUUCAUAUCAUGGCAUAAUAUGAAAAUAUUUGGUAUUGAUUGGUUGGAUUAAUAAUUGUAUAAAUCAAGAUUUGGAUCCAAGUGGAGCUAAUAGGAGGAAAGCUAAAGUUGCAAACUAGUCCCCAAAGUCUCCACUCUUUUCACAUUUUGAACAAGUAAGUUCAUAUAGAAUUUAUUAAUUUACUAAUUUAUGUGUUUGUGUGAUUUCGUGUUUGAUUUCCUAGUUAUAUGUAUGUAUGUAUGUAUGUAUGUAUGUAUGUAUGUAUGUAUGUAAGUAUGUAUGUAUGUAUGUAUGUAUGUAUGUAUGUAUAUAUGCAUGUAUGCAUGUAUGCAUGUAUGCAUGUAUGCAUGUAUGCAUGCAUGUAUGCAUGUAUGCAUGUAUGUAUGUAUGUGUGUAUGUGUGUAUGUGUGUAUGUAUGUGUGUAUGUAUGUGUGUCUGUCUGUAUGUAUGUAUGUAUGUAUGUAUGUAUGUAUGUAUGUAUGUAUGCAUGUGUGUGUGUGUGUGUGUGUGCGUGUGUGUGUGUGCGUGUGUGUGUGUGCGUGUGUGUGUAUGCAUGUGUGUGUCUGCGUGUGUGUGUCUGUGUAUGUAUGUGUGUAUGUAUGUAUGUAUGUAUGUAUGUAUGUAUGUAUAUGAUUUAAUUAUUUGCAAAUUGGUAUGAAAAGCUAGAAAUGGUUUGAAUAGAAUUAUUAUAUGAUAAUUGAUUAAUACAUAUCAUUACAGGAUUCAAAUGCAAAAUUUUGAUUUUAUUACAGGAAUUAUAUUGGAAUAUGUAAAAAUUGGUGCCCGUGUAAACUUAGUAAAGGUUAGAAUAAAAUUGACAAGCCAAUAGAGUAUUGUGCGCACUUGUACGAGAUUUAUUACAGAUGUUAACGUGAUCUAGCAUUUAUUGCAAAUUCUCGGGUAUUAUAUGACACAAGUUUAGCUCAGACAAGUAACCUAAUGUGUCGUGAUAUAGGUUUAGCCUGGACGGGUGACUUGAUAUAUAUAUACUCGGCUCGAAUGAGCAACUAGUGUGGUGUAGUUACUUGUGUAUCAGAGUCUGCUUACUAGGAUUCAUCGAGUGAAACGAUAUAAAUGAAAUUAGAAAUUGGAAAUGUGAUGAAAUGAAGUUGAUAUUAAAAUUGAAAAUGAUAUAUCUUUAUGAUUGUUAAUAGUAAAGGUGAUCAAUUCGAAUCAAUAUACUUGUUAAUAUCUUAUGAUUGUUGAUUGAAUGUACCAUUGCGAUAAGUUAUAUGAAAGUAACAUGAAUCGGUAUGUUAAGUUACUUGUAGUACUUAAUGAUCUUAGUUAUAAAUUAAUACUCAUCUUGUUGAUGUUUUGGGUGCCAUGUUCUAACCAAAGUUAUGCUAAAAGAAAGUAGAUUUAAAUGCUUGGGUAAAAAUAAGGUAAGCAUAGUAUUUUCUAUUUGAACUUACUAAGUAUUUCUUAAUGCUUAUUCAAGUUGUUUCCUUCCCUUGUAGAUAAUUACCUUGCAGAACUCGUCAAGUUGAAUCAUUGUGAAGCUUACACUAUCACUAAUUUGGUAGUAAUGUAUUUGUUUUGAUUAUCAAAGUUGUGGCAUGUAAAUAGGCAUAAAGUGUAUGGAACUAGUCAUUUUCUUGUUAGAAUGGUAUGCUUGAGCUUGUGGUAAAUGUUGAAUUGUAUGAGAAGCUAGGUGUUUGUACUAAGUGACAUAUGGAUUGACUUUGGUUAAUGUUUUUGAGCUAAAGAUGUUAAUUCCAUGCAUGAAAUGUAUAUAUAAUAGGAUUUGCAUAUAGAAGAAAAUGGUAAGUUGAGUUGAAAGUGGUUUAAAUAGGUAUAAGUUUAAAAUACAAAUGUUAUGUCAUUUGAAAGAUUAAAUUCUUAAAGUUUUAUGGAUUUGUUUUAGUUUGAUUAUGCAUGUUUUGGUACAGUUGAAAAUGUUAGGUGAAUAUGUAUAUCGGUAGGUUUUGGUCUAAGCAUGUAAAUAAGCACCAAAUGGUAUUUUUGGCCAAACGUCUCGACGACCAAUAUCUCAUGUCACAACGUUGGCCGAUAGUAAGUGAUGUCGCGACGUCAUUAUACAUGAAGUCGUGACGUGACAUACUAAGUUGGCAACGUCACGACUUGGAGAUUUUGAGGUCACUACAUCGAUCCUGAAUUUUUAAAACUUUAUAAUUUGGUCUUAAUUCGUGUACGGUUUUGCAAAAGAGCUUUCAUAAGCUAUGUGGAACCUGGAAAUGAUCGUAAUAUAUAUUUAGAAUGUGAAUGAUGUUUUUUUUGCAUAUGUGAUUGGUCGGAUGUUGUAAAAUUGUCCAAAGUUGCUCCAGCAUCAAUCGUAACAUCUUAUAGCUCGAAUCCGACGAUUGGGUCGGGCGACGGGUGUUACAAAUUUACCACAUAAAGACAAAAAAAAAAUUCUUAGCAAUAACCAUUACUGCAAAUAUUUCCCAAAACUCAUCCUUCAUUUCAUCACGCUCUAGCAAUAACACCAACAACUGUCGACAAAACUCCAAUAAGAAUCCUAACAAAUGCAAUCAACCUUGGCAUCCACGACGUAAUAAUAUACAACAACUUUCCCUAUGCACAAUAUACUACCAACUAUGUGAUCAACCUUCACACAUUUAUUGUUAGGUUUCUCAUAAUCACAUGCAAACAAUAUCCAAUUUUGCUGCUCACUUUUAAAAUUCUUGAGCACCUUAGAUAAUUGAUAUCGACGCAACUCACCACAUGACCUUUGAUGUUCAUAGUAUAACCUCUGCAUAUGACUACCAUGUUUCAAAACUAUCCAUAAACAUGUAUAAGGUCGGUAAUUUAUAUUUUCCCUAAUCAUCUUUCUUUUUUACGCUGUUAACGGUUGAGGUAAAUUGAUAAAAAAAAUUUGGAAACUUCAGGUACUAAACUGAUAUAAAAACUAAAAACUUCAGGUACUUAAAUUGAUAUAAGAAGUUCUCUAUGUACCAAUGUGAUAAUUCAGUGCAACUUUGGGGGCAAAUAGUACAUUAACUCUUAUUUUUACAAAGUAAGAAAUAGUAAGGUUUAAGGGUGUAAAAAGCCUUCAAAGCAUUUUUUUGCACUCGAUUAAGUACUUGAACUUUCAAAAGGCAUAAAAAAGGUCCUCAAACUUUUUCAAAAAAAGCAAUUAAGCCCUUGCUUUUUUUGCACUCAAUUGGGUGCUUAAACUUUCAAAAUGCAUAAAAACAUACCCUCAAACUUUUUCAAAAAUAACAAUUGAACCCUUUUUUGCAAUCAAUUGGGUACUUGAAUGUCAAAAUGCAUCAAAAAGACCUUUAGAUUGUUAACUUUAACAGUUGAUCGUUAAAGUUAACUGCCCCUAAUUUUUUCAAUUAAAGUCACCCCGUGUCACAACCAUGGAGUGACGUGUGGCAAGAAAAUUAUAAAAAAUAAAAAUCAAUAAAAAUUAUAAAAAUGGUUAAAUUUUAAUAAAAAAUAAAAAAAUAUUUAAAUUUUAUUAAAAAUUAGAAAAAAAAUAUUUUAAAAAUUAAAUACAUUAGUGAUCAAAUUGUAAUUUUUUAAGUAAUUGAUCAAAACAAAAAAGUACUCAUAAUUGAGUAAUUAAUGAAUAAUUUACCUUAAUAUAUUUUAUGUUGAAGAAGCAUUUGAGAAAAUAAGUAAAAUGGAGACUGUAAAAAGGAAAGAGAAAAAAAAAACAUUAUUAACGGCGUCGUUAAUUUGCUAUUAUAUAUACUGUUAAUGGUUUAGUAAUUUAAAUUUAACAAAUUGAUUUAGUAAAUGAUAUAUAAAUAAUUAAUUUUAUAGUUUUCCCGGAAAUUAAGUGUGGACAUAAAAGUGAAACUUUACAAUCGGGAUUGUAGCAAUUCUGCUAUAUGGAUUAUGCCCCAUAUCUAUCUGUUUAUUAAUUUUGGUUUUCUCAACUUGGAAGGUAAACUGAAGCAAACCAUGUGCAUGUGGAAGAGUGAUAGUUUAGUUGGAAGAUUUAUGGCCACUUGCAAGAGAAUGGAUAACAAAAUCAAAUUAUCCUACUCUUCUUAAUGGAACAAAGUAACAACAACUUCAUUAGCUCAACAACAAUCAGAUAUACAUUAGAAUCGAAACAAUGAAAAUAUCCACCAUUUGUCAUAAGUAAAAUCCCAACAACAACAGAAAAAUUCCUCCACCUUUUCUCUAUCUCUUUUCCAUCUUCAUAAUCAAAGUUGUAUGGCCUUUAGAGAGAAAGAAUAAAAGAAGACAAAAGAACUCUACACAAACCCCAAUAUUGAAAUAUCAACAACUAAUACAAUUCACCCAUUUUAAAAGAGGAGACCAAACGCAAGAGCGACAAGGGAAGCAAACGCCGUCGGCACGAAUGCGGUGGCAUCUGAGGUAGGAGUAGGGGCCGGUGCAUCAGCUGCCGCAACAUAUUGGACCGCCGACAUGGCCAUCAACACCACCAUCAUGGCCAAAAAUAGUCUCAUCCUCAAUGCCUCCAUUUGUUGGUGUAGUCUCUCCGUGAAUUUUGUUGCAAAAAGUGAGGAGUAUGAAAUUGAGACAAGCAGUAAUGGGUGGGGUGCCAU